rnacentral:lncRNA from 1 species
AAAAAAAAAAAAAACUUGAAUCCACACACACCAACUCGGACGGUGGAGAAUAUAACACAAAGUCACAUGAAAACACAGCAAAAUACAAAGAAAUCGAACAGGGUUUGACGAAUAUAAACACAAACGUGAAUCGGCUUUGAGCUAAUACGUGAAAAUUCCUCGGUCUUCUUUCAGGCAUUUUAGCAAAUGCAUGACACGCACUUCGGACAGCAAGCUUGAUACUUAGUCUCGACAUGUGAAGGUUUGAAUCGACAUUAUUAGGCACAGAUCAACCAAUAUUUCUAUGCAAGAUGCCUACGAUCUUUGAGAAAAAUGAAUUUUGAGAUCGGGGUUGCUGAAAGAAAGAUUUAAUUAAGCUAGAAAUUGACUUAUUUAAUAUGUAAAAAAGGGGGGUUCACUUAAUUCAUUUAGUAGGAAAAAGUAAUUGAUGAUGAUUAAUAUCUUAUCUACCGAUCAUGAUUCUAUGCUUGGAAAAAAAUUAUAAAUAUAUAAUGACAGUCAAAAAACUAUUUCUUUCAUGUUUAACACUUGAAGAUUAUUAACACUUCAAAUGAGCUCUUUAAGUUCUUAACAAUACAUUUACAUAGAUUGAAUAAGACUCUAAAAGAUUGGUUGACAUAAUCUUUGAUUCAAAAUUAGUUUGAACCGGGGAUGUAAUAUAGUCAAGUGUUUCUUCAUGCAACUCUCCCCAAUUUUUUUUUUGUCAUUUUUUUUUUGUCGGUCCUACUCUAACACUCACUCUCAGACUUUUGCCCUGUCUCCUUGCAGGGCAUGAGAGUCAAGAUCCACUCCUAAAAUGAAAUCGUCCUCACCCCAAUCCCCCUUGAAAAGGUGGGGAUUUGAAUCCCUCACUUCCCCCUUCCAAGUUGGAAAGGUGGCCACUGGGACGAACCCCUAAUGGUUUUUUCUUUUUGGUCAUUUACCCAUAAAACAAUAUAUACAUGUUGUUGAUUGGCUAAAGGCAAGGAAUGCAUAAAAACGUUAACGUAUGGGCUCUUUGCAAAUGCGUGAGCUUGGCCUAGCGUCACCCUUCGAUAUCACAGGGUUUCAACAAAAUCAAUUGAAAUUUAACAUGGUAACUAUGGUCGCAAUUUCAUCCAUAUUGUAAAUUAGAAAUAACCCAUAUUUUUCUUUCGCCUCACUAGUAAAAAGUCCUACGUCCAUGCGGUAAUCAUGGAUUUAGUUUUUAUUAAUUCUCUCGUCAUUACGAUUAAUGCAUGGAUUUUUAUUUUUAUUUUUUGGACUAUGCUAGCAUGACCUUGGGCCAUCCAUUUUUGUAUAAUGGGCAAGUGGACAUAAAUUUGCCAUGUGUGCAAUAUUUGAAGAAACAAAUCUAAUGAUGUCCAAGAAAGAGAAAUUCAUGAGGAAUUGACUCCCUAUUUCAUACGGGGGAUAUUGGUCCAAAAUAAAAAAAAAUUGAUAUCACUUAAGUCAAACGUUGAAAAUUUAUAUAAUAAAAAUAAAAAUAUUCACAAUCCAUAAAGUUUGCACUUAUAACAUAAAAUCAGAAAUUCUUCAUAUACUAUUAUUACCAUAAUAUGAAAAGAAAUGAUUGUUGCACUUUGUUACGAUAAAAAUUUGUUGAACGUCUUCAUGAAAUACUGGAAAUUUUUGAAAAUAUUGAAAUAUCAAAAACUAUAGUGUACUUUCGGUGCAUUUAUGAAAUCCUGAAGAGUACAAAUGGUUCUUCUUUUUUUUUUUUCUUUCUUUCUUUAAAUUUUACGACGUUAUCUCUUUGACUUUUAUUUAUUAUGAAACAUUUGGAAAUUUUCAAAAAUAUUCAAUAUAAAAUACCGAAUUGUACAAUUGAUCCGUUUUUAGAACUUAGAGAAGAAGUCUAAGUAGUAAGUCUUUACUAUAAAUAGAAAUUUUUUUAUCUCAGAUGAGUAUCUUAUUAUUAUUGUUGAUGUUGUUAUUAUUAGUAGCAGUAGUAUUUACAUUUUCUUCGCAUUAUUUCUUAAAUCGCGUCUGAAAUUAAAGGACAAUGUUGCACGAUCUUUGGACGGGUGGACCCACCUAUACAUGCUUGCAAAGUCCAAGCCAUGCAUGCAAAAUUACCGAGACAUUGUACAUUCUUUGCAGAAAUCGGAAAGUUUUUAGAGAUCCUAUUUAGCAUCUGUAUUAAGGAUAUAUAAAAUGAGAUGUUCAUUGAUUAAGAGGGUCGUUAAAGGUAAUAUUGCGUUUUUUAAAUUUGAAAAUAAAACAUUAACUUGUUAGUUAGAUUGACUAAAAUAAUUAAUUAGAGAUACUUUCUUUUUUAAUUAGCCAAUAAGUGAUUUAUCAAACACUUUACGUCGAAAUGCAAACUCGUUAGCAGAAUUCUCAAUUUUUUUCAAAUGAAAUGUGUAAAUUGAUUUAUAAUUAUUUGGUAUGUAUAUUUUUCGCAUUUAGUUAAAAUAAAAGAUCAAUUUUAAUGUGUUACACAUACUCAUUACAUAAGACUCAGAGCGUUGAGAGUGCCGAAUAGUAAUCAUAAUCUUCAAGUUUAUUUGAAAAAAGCAAAUCAUCACUUCCAAGUCUUGGUAAUUUGUAUACAUGAAAUGAACGUAUUAUCGUUGAAGAAUUCUUGUUACAUAGCCAAAUGUGAAAUUGAACUUUUAAUUUUAGUUUGAAAAUUGACAAAAAGAAAAGUGGCAUGACUUUAUUUUCCAAUUUGAUACAGAUAUUUAAAAACAAAAUUAGUCUUAAAGAUCGCCUACCAACUAUAAUACUAAAAAAUAAAAAUAAUGGUUAUGACUACGCUCUAACAAAAAAAAAAUGUAAUGAAUAAACAAAAACAUCGAACCUGAAGAUUCUCACGUUCUCAUUCUUUAUAAGUAUUCUUCUAGAUUUAGGAAUUAGGAAAUUUUUUUAAAAAUAAAACCACAAAAUUUUGUUAACUAUAUUGAUAUGUGAUCUAACUCAAAAUUUGUAUUUAUAAUCCUCGCGGUACGAAUUAACAUGGCUUUUCGAUAAGCCCCUGCUAGCAUGCACUCUACACCUCGGCGCAUUUUGAUUUUUGAAGGUCAGGUCUUAAAGCCCUUUGUAUAGCCUGACCCCUCCCUCCAUCCAACCAUAAUGGCAUGGAAAUUAUGCCAUCCUCGGGCAUGAUUGCUUGCCACCUUUGGAAGACCUUAAGCAAAAGUUCGAAUCAUUGCGCAUUUGAGGAAGAUGGGGAUGCCGAAAGUGACAAGGGGAAAGAAUUAAUCCGGCCCCAAUUGGACGGAGCUUGAUUCAUGACCACAUUGGCCAGGACGGGACCUACUACGUGAUCGAGACGUGCCUUGGUUUGUUGCCGGCAUGCAUGCGACCUUAUUUGCAACCGAGCCUAGCUUGAUCAAUGCUCUCUAUUGAUCGUUGCUAAACAUUUUUUUUUAUUCCUCAUAUUUCGAUUAUCUUUUUUCACAUCACCACAUGACUAGUUAGUUUUUUCAUAUUUUGAAAUACAAAAACGCGCUAUCAAGUUGUGGUCCUAUUGUCCCAUUUACUUUGACGUCGAGUGUACCCAAAACAAGUUAUUGAAUUUUUUUAGCAUUGAAUCAAUUGUUUAGAUUUGCAAGUGUAGAGUAUCCAAAUUUACGUUGAGCGAGCACAUAUUUCAUAGAUGAAUUUUGACAAUUAGAUCCAUUCGUACAAUUUAAUUUUGUGUAUACCCAAAUAUUAUGAUUUGUGUCCAGUAUAACAUAACUCUUUGUAAUAGCUAAUAUAAAAUUAUAUAUAUAUAUAUAUUUAAAAUGCUCAAACAUUAUUUAAUUUAAUAGCUAAGAUAAGAAAGGACUGCAGACAAGUAAAGUACAUAGGAGGGCUUGUCCAUUAGGGUGCGUUUGGAAUCACUUCCCAAAGCACUUUGGGGGUCCAAAGCCCCUUGGGCCAAAAUAAUGGUGUUUGGGAAAAAACUUUGGAAGGGACUUAAUGGCAAAGCUAGCAUUUUUAAGGCUAAAAGCCCAAGGCAGGUGAGGACCUGCCUUGGGCUUCUAGCUUUCUUGGCAUGCCCACGCGACAUUGUUCAUUUUUUUCCCGAAAUUAUCCUCAUGAAUUUUUUGUUUUUUGGAGUGCGUGCCCUUGUAUGAGCACUGUUCAUCUUCUUCGGGCUGGCGACUGCUAGAGGGAUGCCAUGACUUAGGCGAUCGUUGCCGGAGAGUCGGGCGACCUCCGUGAGUUGCAGAUCUGGUUGCGACCAGAUGCGGUCACCGGUGACCGUCACCUGCCCCACCGCAACCUCUGCACGGAGCUCGCCAGGGCCGCACGACCCAUCUGGUUGCAAGUCUGGUCGCGACCAGAUCUAGUACUAGAGGCUCAAGUGGCGACCAUAUUUGGGUCGCGUGAGCUCGCUGCCCCUGGAUCUAGGUCGCGGCGGCGUCGCGCGACCUCCCGCGACCUCACCGCCCUAGAUUCAGGGGCGGCGAGGUCGCGCAACCCGCCGCGACCUAGAUUUGGGGUGGCGAGGUCCUCCCGUGACCUUGAUGCCCCGGAUCUAGGUUGCUGGAGGUCGAGGUGGUGUCGCGCGACGUGCGCGACCUCACUGCCCCAGAUUCGGGGUCGCCGGAGGUCGAGACUGCGUCGUGUGAUGCGUGCGACCUCGCCGCCCCAGAUCCAGGGUCGCCGGAGGUUGCGACGGCGUCGCGCGACCUCGCCACCCCAGAUCUGGGGUCGCCGAAGGUCGCCGGAGGUCGUCGGCGGCUACUGCCCUUGCUGGUCAAUUUUUCUUUUGAUAAUAUUUUUUUACCACAAAACUCUUUUGUAAAUGUAAUUCCCCAAACACCAUUUUGCUCAAAGUACUUCACAAAGGGUUUUCAAAGUACAAUUUACCAAACACAUUUUGCAUUUUGAAAAACACAUUUUAACUCAAAGGUUUUUACAUUUUCCUAAAGACUUUCUCUAAAAAUGGUUCCCAAACGCACAUCAUGUUAUACUUUUUGGCUACAUCAUAUCCAGACUUCUCACCCUCAAAUCGUAAGGAGUGAAAACCGAUGUUAAAGAGCCUUCUGUGAAGACUUGACGUUGUCCGACACAUGUGGGCUGGGUCCCACCACCCCCUUCUCUCUUCCUUCUUGUGAUCUCUCUCCUUUGUCCUUGCGUUUCUAUGGCCACGGAGUCUUUUCAUUCGAGGCAUGUUUCCUGCUUUUUCUCACCAUUUGCUUUUUAUAACAUGUAAAGGCUUCACUUAAGUGGUUUUCCUGAGGAGUAUCCAUGAUAAGCUGAUUUACAGACACAAAAAAGUUGAAUGUAUUCAUUUUAUCAGGAUGUGAUGCAUAAUUCUUGUUAUGAUGAACUCUCUGUUUUUCCAGUUUUAAAUGAAAAAAACACUUCAUGCUUAAUGAAUGAUGUUGUUAGAAUAAAUAUUUCUGUCUUUGUAUGACUUUUCAUUUCUUAAGAAACAUUCAUAUGUGGAAUUCUAGUUUAGUACUAAAUGGACUUUAUAGGACCAUAAGAAUGACUACAAUGUUCUUGAUAGUCUGUUUAUUACCUUUAUCGCUUGAAUUAAUGAUACAGCUUACAUAUAUUGUCUGGAACUAUGUUUAUGCCACCAAAGUGGUCCUUAGGCUAUCUUCAAUGCCGUUGGAGCUAUCACUAUGAUAACAGAGUUUGAGAGGUUGUCCCUUUCGAUGCAUCUUGCUUGAUUUGAUAGUCUUUCCUACUCAACCAGCAUUUCCUUCUACCUAAUUAAAUAACAAUGUCCAACUUUCAUUGUAUGCUGUUGGCAUAUCAUUUAUGAGUCAAUGCAUGAUAGUUCUUUAGCUCUAAAUUUUUUCUAAUUGUCCAACUUUCACUGUACGUUGUCGGCAUAUCAUUUAUGAGUCAAUGCAUGAUAGUUCUUUGGACAUAGGUUCACUUUCUUCUUUGUGAAAAUGCCCCCGUUAUUCACUAUAAACACUGCAACGACAUAAUUUUCACAGUAUUAUAUGGAAAAUUCAGAAAGUUCUCACAGCCUUUUAUUCAUGAGAAAUCUUCGGGGGGAGGGGGGGGACUCUUUUGAAACUGGCAUCUCCUCUGACGACAGCUGCAUAUUAACUGUUCCGGUUCCCUAGUGGACCAUACUUUUGAAGACCUCACUGAGGCCGAACCGAACUGAUGGACUAGUCCCACACCAAGGCAUUUAUCCCAGAGAGACCAUUCACCUGAAAAAAGUGGAUGGUAAAGGCACUGAGAUAUCCUCAUUUGUUGGAACAAAAACGUCUAAAGUGAGUGACUGCUGAUUGGAUGACCAAUUCAUGGUCGUCCUAUCCAAAAGUUUUUAUCAUUUUAAGGAAUCUCAUGAGUGGGGAUGCGAAUAAAAGAUCAUUUAGGUUACGUAAUCAAAGAAGAGAAGAUUAAGCCAAGGACAGGAAAACAGAAGCAGGAAGCGUUUUAAACAUAUGCAAGAAGUGCUUUGACAGUAGAAGCAAAAUGUUCUAUCAUAGGAGGAAAAUAUGGUGAAUGGAAUCUGCAACUUCAAAAUUCGAAUUGAAUUUUGAAUGAUUCAAUCUGAAGACCUCACAGUUGAUGAAAUUAUGUUUGGUCAAAAUGUAUUUGAACCUAACUAAAAGCUACAUAUCCAUAUAUCAUGGAAAAGAUUGAGAAGAUUGAACGUUUGCUGAAGCAUAUGUAUUGAAGAUUUUAACCAUAUGCAUAUACAACCAUCCGAAGAAAGUGAAGAUUAUCGCCAUGCUCAACCUAUUGAUUAGAUGGAACUUCAGGAUAUGUAGAGCUAAUUGAUGAAAUUGGAUAUGGAACAACCUCACUUGAUUGGUAGUUUCAUGGAACGAAAUCUCAUGAACCUAUGAAUUGACUUUGAUUAAUAAAAGGCCAUAUGAAGAUUCACACAAGGAUGGAAGAGCGGAAGACAAUGCUGGCUGGCUAAGGGACCUCCGACAUUUCGAUCAAAGAGAACUGAGUAUUGGGAUUCAGAGCAGGGGACAAGAAUGAGGUAUAACGAGAAUACCACCAAUAUGAAGAGCCUACACCUUGGUUCUUAUACUUCCAUUUGUGCCAAACUUAGCAAGACCUUGAAUGUAUUUUGAACAAUUCUUGUAUUGCCUUCUCUCUAGUAAGCACUGCGGAGUGGGCUUACAAAUUUAUAUGAGAGGGAGAGGCUUAACUAAAUGGGAGCAUUGAUAGGAGAUCAUUGUUCAAAGACUACUGGUGUUGUACAAGGGUUUAACACAGAAGCAACUGAUACUGAAGUUGUGUGGAACAGAUGGUAUGAGUUGUAAUAUAUUGGGUGGAAGCGGUGGAUUUAGCCGUGAUUGGAGGCUGGGCUGGUAGUACAUGAAAAGAGAGGAGAAAGGUGGAAGGCUGAACCUCUCCUAUACUUUACCUCAAAUUUGUUAUCUCUACUCCUUUAUUUCUCGUUAAUCACUUAAAGCACCUAUGGUUUCAAGAAUAUUUCUACUAAAAUGAUACCAGAGUGCUAAAAAUUCAAUCCUAACCAAAUUUUGGUGAUCGAAGAUGCUAGAAGCUUGCCUAAAUCAUGAACAAUGCACUUGGAUCUUAGUUAAACAAGGAAUUUGUGACCCUGUUACCCCCGUCUUCCAGCAGAUAACCAAAUGCAAAUUUUGGCAAACAAAUGUAAGAGUUUCAAAAAGUGGCAUGAUGCAAUCGCCUCUUGCUUUACUAGGGAGUAUAGCUCUCCAGUUACCUAGGCCUCCACAGCACCAAAAGAAAAGGUAAGAACAAAAGAUUUCAUUAGCUAGAAGAUUCCCUUCAAAGGUCUGCUCACUAGAAUCGGGCCAAAGUUCAUGCUUAGAACCAUCAACGACUGUAAAUGAGAUAAAAGACUCUCUAGGGUGCAACAGGGUGAAAGUGAGGGUGUCCUCUCAAGCAGACCAACCUACAGCACAAUACAAACAAAACACCAUUACAGGUGAUUAUUGACAAUAUUGACAAUCUUAAAGUCAGAAAAGAGACGAAAAGCAUAAAAAGCAAUUCUUUGAUGAUUUCUCCAUUUAAUUUUCUGAUUAAAUAAUUCACUGUAAGAAAUAUGCAGGCCGAACUUUAAGCAUGUGUUCUCAAUAGUUAGCAAGUAACACAAUUAGCGACUCCCAUUUGACUCGACUUGAUCUGGACCUGAGUUGCCUCCAAUUUUAACCAUAUUAAAAAAACCAAUCAAUUAAAAAUAAAUUAAGGAUGUGUUUAUUUCUUGGAAUAUGAAUGAUUUGCAAAAUAUUUUUCCAAAAAUGAUCUCUUAUAUCACUUGAAAUAAUUAAUCAACAAAAAAGAAAUUUAUUAUCAAAAUAAUUUAUGUAUAAACAUUUUCAUGGACGAUGAUAACAUUUUUUAUUGAUUCAUUUUUAUAAGUAAUACAAGCAGUCAUUUUUAGAAAAUAUUUCUCAAAUUAUUCAUUUUCGUGAAACAAAUAGAGCCAAAAUAUGAAAAUCAAUUAGCAAAUAAAAAAUUACUGAAAAAUGAAUUAGUACAUUAGGAGUGUCAUAACUUUCGUACUAUGCUCACCUGAGUGUCAUAACUUAUUUUUUUCUUCAUUUAUUUGUGCCACAAAUUAUAAAAAAAAAAAAAAAUCAUUCAUUUGAGUGUCAUCAAUGAUUUACCUUAUCAGACAAGUUGACGUGAUGUUAAUUUAUAAUACAUCAUUCGACGUGACAUGUUAGAAAAUUGAAGUCAUCACUUGAUAAGGCUUGAAAGUGCUUUUUUUGCCUUGAAACCAAUUCAAACACUCAAUUUCAUAUUCAAGUACCAUCAAUCACAAUUACAGCAUCAUUUGUUAAGAAACUAAGAAGCACUCGAAAGCCCAUCACUUCAUAUACCCAACUAGGGCCAAAAGUCCUUCACAUAGCAAUCAGAACGAAGGAAUGUCAACAACUCUCUUUUUUACCAGAAGCGCGGAAGCCACUGUGCUUAGGGCCCCUCCUCCUACCCUACACCUUUCCUUUAUUUCCUGGAGAAAGGGCUAAAGCCACCGUCGGGGCUGGUGGGCCCGUCGCCCUUCCCACCACAGCAGCCCGCCGCUCGGUGCUUAAUAUUAUUUCCAGCAAAUUCACACCAAGUUUUCAAAAUUCAUGUACCGGCCAACCAGCAUGUUGCAUAAUUAUCUUCACCCGCCAACCUCCAUGCUUCCCGAAAACAUGGGAAGGAGAAAGCUCGGGAGGGUACAGGGUGAUCGUGGCAAGACACACGGGGUGCAGCAAGUCAAUAAAAACACGAACUUAUAUAUUAUUCAAUUAUUCGAUUUAACAUUAUUUUUUUCUUGUUCUUUCUUUCUUCCAAGUACUGUCUAAUAUUAAUAUAUAUCUUAAAUAUGUGUUUUUCACUUUGACCAGUAAUAGAACAUGCUGGCCAAAUAGUUUACCUCCAUAUAGAUGCUCACGAGGGUUAACUUUUAAAUGGACACGAAAAUGAUAGAAUAUUUAAAUAUUAAAUCAAGCAAACUGUUUGAAGGCUAAAAUUAUUGAGUAAAUGUUUGAUUUAUUAUUUAAAUAUAUUAACACGAUUUAAUAUUUAAAUAUUCUAUCAUGAACACUAAGGCAUGACUAAAAACAACCCAACCUAGCAUUAAUUGAAAGCUUGAAAUAUAUAAAUUGUUCAACAAAUAGACGAUGGUGGAUCAAACGUAGAUACUAAAAAAAAUUAUUUUGCAAUUUUGGGGAGUUCGUCAAUAAUAACGUCAAGAUCUCUAGUUAGGCAAUCAAAGAAGACACUCAAACGGGNNNNNNNNNNNNNNNNNNNNNNNNNNNNNNNNNNNNNNNNNNNNNNNNNNNNNNNNNNNNNNNNNNNNNNNNNNNNNNNNNNNNNNNNNNNNNNNNNNNNGUAAUGUUUGAUUUAUUAUUUAAAUAUAUUAACACGAUUUAAUAUUUAAAUAUUCUAUCAUUUUCAUGUCCAUUUAAAAGUUAACCCUCGUGAGCAUCUAUAUUGAUGUAAACUAUUUGGUCAGCGUGUUUUAUUACUGGUCAAAGUGAAAAACAUAUAUUUAAGUUAUAUAAAUAUUAGAUGGUACGUGGAAGAAAGAAAGAACAAGAAAAAAAUAAUGUUAAAUUGAAUAAUUGCCUCGCCAGAUCCGCGAGCUCGAGGCUCGCCUGGCCAGUCACCAGCCAUCGCCAUGCCGGCCAUUAGAAGGAGGAAGAAGAAAGAAAGAAAAAAGGCAAAAGAAAAGAAAAUUAAAAUAAAAAAAUAAUUAUAAUUGUAUUUUUAUUUAAAAAAUUGUAAAGUUAAAAUGGGAAGAGAGAGAUUGUGAGGUUUUGGUUGAAAAUGAGUUCUAAAUCCAACCCACUUAAGACCCACAUACCUUAAGUCUUUAAUUGUUAAACCUAUUUAACUAGUGUCUUAAAAAAAGAAGAAGACCCAUAUAUGACCCAUUUUGCCACCUCUAGUAGCAGGGCCAUAACCCCAUGCGUCAGUGUUCCAUGUAAACACCUAAAACCGAAGAGAUCACCAAGCAUUCAAGGAAUGAUAAAGCAAAUGCUAGUAUGGAAAGUUGGGGAAUGAGGGACUAACUCAUUUUCCCAUACGCUCAAGUUGUCCACUGACUUCACCAGUCCCUUAAAAACUAGUCGUAGCUAAAUCAUAUGUAAUACAAUGUUAUUAAGAACUCCAGAAAUACAUACUCACUUGGAAAACAUAAAUCAAGUAAAGUGAGUUCCUAAAAAUAUUGGAAAUGUCACAGUCUGAAGAGCGCAACAAAUCAACCAAGAAAAGAUUCAACUGAUUCAUGGGAAAGAAAUAAGAGCAUGCGAAGAUUGACCUCAAGUUUGACAAUCUGCUGCCCAAAAGGGAUAUGAGAAGGGACAUGAUGACUCUGUAUAGGUGGGUCCCUAUCCUUGUUGUUGCCAAAAGAAAGAUUAGGAACUGCGGUGACAAUCGAAGUGGAAAACUCCUUCCUCCAAAAUAGGCUUAAAAAUCAUAUUCCUUGUGGUCACAUGCGUAGCCACCACCUGACCUUCUUGAACAGUCAUUUCCAAUUUCAAUCUCAACCCCUUACUCUUUGUAGUGCCAUCUAUGCAUGCACCAAUUCACACUAAUAGAGCUCUGAUGUACACCUAUUUAUUAUUCUUCCACAUGCCAGCAGAUACAAAAAUGCUAACCCCAUUGGAGAGCAUUGAUUAGAGUAUAGUGUCACGGCCCAAAAGAAAGCAUGUCCAAGAUGUUUCCCUAGCACGGGUGUGACACAUUAAUGACCCUCGGUUUAUGUCCCCGAGACGUAGAGUAUUCUCUUAGGGGCAGGUGAUACUGUAUUUGUACGUAUAUGUUAUAAAUGUGAGUAGCUGGUAGUUGGCAAUAAAUGCCGGUAGUUGGUAGAUGGGGAGGUGCAAUCUCCACCGUUAUAUCUAAGGGAGAUCUACGGAUACGGUUUGCCUCAUACUUGUAUAUAAAUGGGUCUCCUCCCUCAUUGUAAUUCAUUCACAAGCAAUACAAAAACCAGAGCUUCUCUCUCUAAGAGUUUCUCUCUCUACAUAUGAGUCUUGUGAGUCAAGUGUUGAAAGGCUGUUUAGGGGUAAAACCUUAAGGCCGCACGGGUCAGCCUACGUGUGAUCGAAAGUUGAUCAAUCGGCCCGUGACAAGUGGUAUCAGACCUAAUUUGUGAUCCAAGCGCAAGUGUAAUAGCCGAUCCAUGAUCUGACGAGGCGCUCGCCAUGGGUGGUGAUGGUGCUGAUCGUGGGCGGAACGCCGAGAAGGUUGGUGCCAAGGGGAAGAAGACCCGUGGUGGUUCGAGGGAUCCAACAGAGGAUCUUGCACAACGGAUGGCGAAGCUAGAGUUGUUCGUCUUCGAUGUCCAAGGAUCGGUCGAUGACCUGACCCAUACCGUGGAUGGAGUUGACGCCGGAAGGGAGGAGCUAGUUGCGAAAGUGCAAGAGCUCAAGACCGACAUGGGAGAACUUCGCCACGAGUUGCUCGAAACCCUACAGGAGGAACUCGCGUAGCGGUACGAACCCUUAGAGGCCACGAUGACGGCCAUGCGUGCGGAGAUAGCGAAGCUUACGGGUAAGCUCGCUGAAGCACAAGCUGCACGCAUGAUGGGGUGAUCACAGUGUAAGGUCCACAAGUGGACACACCGAAGCCAAAGGAGUUCCGGGGCUCGCGGGUGGCCAAGGAGUGGACAACUUUUUGUGGUAACAUGGAAGCGGCACUUCUAGCAUGGGAAUCAACGACGACCAAACAUGGGUAAACACUACAUCUAUGUACGUAGCGGAUAGUGCUUGUUGUUGUGUUUGUUGUUGUGGCGUGGUCGGUUGGAUGAUAGGUGUGGGAAUCCUAUCACAACUUGGGGUGGUUUCGUCGAGGAGUUCAGAUGGAACUACUUUCCCACUUAUGUGGAGGAGGAAGCUCGUGACGAGCUGAAGCGUCUCGAGCAGAAAGGUGGUGUAUGCGACUACAUCAAGCGGUUUUCGGAGUUGCUGCUCUAAAUCUCCUCGAUGAAUGAAGUUGAGGCGUUUCACUAGUUCAUGGGUGGUCUCAAGCCAUAGACAAAGCAAUAGUUGAAGCGGUACAACAUGGGAGAUUUCACUACGGCCAUGACCGUAGUCGAGUCGCUUGUGGAGUUCAAGGCGUCGCCUUCCACAUCCCGACCGAACACUCAUUCAAGGGACAAAGGCACUGGUGGGGGAGAUAUAACCGCCCGACUGGAGGUAGACCACCACCAGCUGGUCCUCAUCCUCAUCGGGCUCAUGCGGGGCCCAACGGAGGAGGAUAAAGGAAGGUACGCUCGUAUAGCUGUUUCUUUUGCGACGGUCCGCACAUAGCGCAGGAUUGCCCGAACAAGGCCAAGUUGGCUGCUCUUUGCAAAGAGGAUGAGCCUAGGGAGGAAGUGCGAUUGGGAUUGCUGCGACUCUUUAGCACAAUCAAGGCUAAGAAGGCGAAGGAGCCUAAAGGCUUGAUGUUCGCGGACAUGAAGAUCAGAGUGACCACAGUGAGUGCACUUGUGGACACGGGAGCAUCCGACAUCUUCAUCUCGGAGGAAGCCGCGAAGAAACUUAACCUACAGGUUGAGACGGGAGCCUGUUGGCUCAAGAUGGUGAAUUCGAAGGAAGUCCUUGUGAUUGGGGUUGCAAGGGACGUGGAGCUACAACUCGGGUCAUGGAAGGGCAAAGAAACUCUAGAGGUAGUUCCACUUGACGACUACGAUAUUGUUAUUGGAAUUAAAUUCCUAGAUAGAAUCCAUGCAGUUGUAGUUCCCUUUUCCGAAUGUAUAUCUGUGAUUCCGGUCCAUCGUGAGUCGGAUCGUGAUUGGAAGAUGAUUUCGGCCAUGCGACUCACCAAAGGAACAAGGAGGGGCGAAGUGACCUUCUUGGCAACCUUGAAAAUCAAGGAAGACAAGGGUGAAGGGAAGGAAGUCUCGACGAAAGCAACUCGAAUCCUUGACUCGUUCAAGGAUGUUAUGCCUUCGGAGCUGUCGAAGAAGCUAUCACCCAAGAGAGAGGUGGAUCUCUGGAUCAAGCUAGUGCUUGACGCUCAACUGCCUGCCAUGGCACCUUACCGUAUGGCGCCGCUCGAAUUGGAAGAGUUGAGGAGGCAACUUAAGGAGCUGCUUGAUGCGGGCUACAUACGGCCAUCAAAAGCACCGUUCGGUGUGCCGGUUCUGUUCCAAAAGAAGCACGAUGGGUUACUCCAGAUGUGUAUCGACUACCGGGCACUAAACAAGCUGACGGUGAAGAACAAGUACCCAAUCCCGCUCAUUGCGGAUCUCUUUGAUCAACUUGGUGGAGUUCAGUGGUUUACCAAGCUAGAUCUCCGAUCGGGCUACUAUCAAGUUUGGAUCACUGAAGGGGACGAGCCAAAGACAGCCUGCGUGACGUGGUAUGGAUCUUACGACUUUCUGGUAAUGCCGUUCGGCUUAACCAAUGCUCCAGUUACUUUCUGCACGAUGAUGAACAAGGUACUCCACCAUUUCCUAGAUAGGUUUGUAGUGGUUUACCUAGAUGAUAUUGUGAUAUAUAGUCGAACGUUGGAAGAGCAUGUCAAACAUAUAAGACAGGUCUUCCAAACCUUGCGCGAGAACGAGUUAUAUGUUAAGUGCGAGAAGUGUGCUUUUACCCAAGAGAAAGUUCCGUUCUUGGGGCACAUCGUCGGAGGUGGGCGAGUGCGGAUGGACAAGGCGAAGAUCCAAUCAAUCAUCGAAUGGGAGUCGCCGACAAAGGUGCCAGCAUUGAGGUCAUUCCUGGGCCUCACCAACUACUACCGACGGUUCAUCCGGAGCUACUCGAGCAUCACUGUACCACUCACGGACCUACUGAAGAAGGAAAAGGCGUGGGAGUGGACGGAUCGAUGUCCAAGAGCCUUCGACCGAUUAAAGCAAGCCAUGAUCGAGGAGUCGGUGUUGGCGUUGCUCGACCACACCAAACCUUACGAGGUAAAGAUGAACACAUCGGUUUAUGCAAUCGGUGGCGUUCUUAUGCAAGAUGGUCAUCCGGUGGCGUUUGAGUCCCGAAAGCUGAACGACAUCGAGUGUCGAUACAUCAUCCAGGAGAAGGAGAUGAUUGCGGUGGUGCACUGCCUUCGAAUGUGGAGACACUACAUCCUAGGGUCGAAGUUCGUCGUGAGGACGGAUAACGUGGCCACGAGUUACUUCCAGACCCAAAAGAAGUUAAGUUCGAAGCAAGCUCGAUGGCAAGACUUCCUAGCAGAGUUCGACUAUGCGUUGGAGUACAAGUCGGGGAAGGCCAACUCCAUGGUCAACUCGUUGAGCCGAAAGACGAAGCUGAUAAGCCACAUGAUGAGUCGACCGAGUUGUCCUUGGGUCGAUCGCAUCAAAGAAGGGCUGGAGCAUGAUCCAAGAGCCCAAGCUCUCAUCAGGUAUGCCAAGGAAGGUAAGACCCAACAAUUCUGGUGUGAGGACGAGCUCCUCUACACCAAGAGAAGGCGGCUGUACGUGCCUUUCUAUGGGAAGCUAAGGAAGGAGAUCUUGCGCAAGUGCCAUGACUCGAAGUGAGCAGGUUAUCCAGGGAUCCACUGCACAUUGGCCCUCAUCGAAGAUCGUUACUACUGGCCUCAAAUGCGGGACGACGUGGAAGCGUAUGUGAAGACUUGUCUAGUAUGCCAACAAGACAAGUUGGAGUAAUGGUCGUCGCCGGGUUUGCUGGAACCAUUUCCCGUUCCAACUCGUCCAUGGAAAAGCAUUUCCAUGGACUUCAUCGUCAACUUGCCAAAGUCCGAAGAGUGUCGGACUCUAAUGGUGAUGGUUGACCGGUUCUCAAAGUAUGCAAUCUUUGUGCUUGCGACAAAGGAUUGCCCGGCCGAGGAGGCGGCCAAGCUGUUCAUAAAGCAUGUGGUGAAGUACUGGGGAGUGCUACAAACGAUUGUGAGCGAUCGAGAUCCCCGCUUCAUGGGACGUUUCUGGUUCGAGUUGUUCAAGUUGCUGGGGUCAGAGCUGAACAUAUCAACGAGUUUGCACCCCCAAACCGACGGUCAGAGGGAGCGGGUCAAUGCUCUCUUGGAGAUUUACCUCCGACAUUAUGUGAGCACAACGCAAGCAAAUUGGGCGAAGGUGAUCAACGUAGCCCAAUUCUCUUACAACUUGCAACGGAGUGAGUCGACCGGCCAAAGUUUGUUCGAGGUUGCAACUAGGCAGCAAUCGAACACCUCGAACACAUUUGCUUUGGGUUAUCGGGGGAGUAGUACGCCCGUGUAUAAGUUCGCCAAGAACAUGCAAGAAGAGGUGGACUUGGCACGAGUGUGUCUACACAAAGCCUCCAAGCGCACAUGGAGUUCCAAGUUGGAGACCAAGUGUUGGCCAAGUUGCACGUGGUUCUUUGGUACAAGGACGUGCACAAGGGGUUGAUCCAUCGCUACGAGGGGCUAUUUCGAGUGCUACAACGGGUUGGAAAGGUCGCAUACAAGCUGGAGCUACAACCAAAGCUAAAGGUGCAUCCAGUUUUUCAUGUAAGUAUGCUUAAACCCUUCCAAGUUGAUGAGGAAGACUCGAAUCAAGGGGAGUCACAAUGAGCGCCGCUCGGGGCAAAGACCUCGUACGAUCGAGAAGUCGAGAGCAUCUUGGCGGAUUGAGUCAUACGGAAGAGGUAUUGUGUGGCCAAGCGUGAGUAUUUGAUCUGAUGGAAGGGUCUUCCGAAGAGUGAAGCCAGUUGGGAGCCUGAGGAGAGUCUUUGGCAGUUCAAGAAAGAGAUCGAAGCAUUUCACGCCGAAGACGCGAUGAGGGUGUCGCCUGAUUAGGUGGGGGAGAAUGUCACGGCUCGAAAGAAAGCAUGUUUAAGAGGUUUCCCUAACACGGGCGUGACACAUUAAUGACCCUCGGCUUAUGUCCCCAAGACGUAGAGUAUUCUCCUAGGGGCGGGCGAUACUGUAUUUUUAUGCAUACAUUAUAAAUGCGAGUAGCUAGUAAUUGGCAAUAAAUGCUGGUAGUUGGUAGAUGGGGAGGUGCAAUCUUCACCGUUAGAUCUAAGAGAGAUCUACGGAUAUGGUUUGCCUUAUACUUGUAUAUAAAGGGGUCUCCUCCUUCAUUUUAAUUCAUUCACAAGUAAUACAAAAGACAGAGCUUCUCUCUCUAAGAGUUUCUCUCUCUACAUACGAGUCUUGUGAGUCGAGUGUUGAAAGGCUACUUAGGGUAAAACCUUAAGGCCGCAUGGGUCAGCCUACGUGUAAUCGAGAGUUGAUCGAUCGGCCCGUGACAAUAGCCUAAGAAACAAGAUUAAGAACCUCAUCAGCUCUCCAACCCCACACCAAAAAGGGGGAAAAAAGGAAAAGAAAAAAGGCAAGCUCUAGAAAAGGAAAAUGUACAAAAAGUAAAAAUGGCAAGAGAGCUUUUGACAUGCAGUUCCACAUCAGAGAAACAUUGUGCAUGUUACAAAUGAAAACCUGUUGCUACAUAACAAAUUAACAUUCAAAAAAGGAUGAUGCAAUAGAAAACCAAUCCGACAAUCUAGCUUGUUGACUCGCACACUUACCUUCCUUCUUCAGCCCUUAUGACUCCAAUUACACACAGAUUCAUCUUGCCCUAACUCAAAUUUCGAGCACAUGGUUGUGAUCACAAGAAGAUUUUCAUAUUACAAUCACAUUACUUGUUUAAUUUCAUCGCAACUUCAGAUUAAGGAAAAAAAAGGUAUUGCUUCUCCAAAAAAGUAGCACAGACCAUGCAAUCCUCUUGACUUCACUGAAAAUCACAUCACGUUCUCUCUCACAAGUAAUCAAAAGUACACCACAAUGAGAGUCAAAAGCUUGGUCACUCACUCUAUUUGAAAAAGAAAAAAAAAAGAUAGGAAGGUGAAAUCUUGACUUAAAUGCAUACUGAAGAGAAAACUAUGUGAAGGAAAAUGAAAUAUAUUUGAUAGACUGAAGUAGCCUUUCUCUUUCUCUUGUUUCCUACUCCUCACAAAGGAUACUCUUGUGGUUAUAACUAUAUGUAUCAGCAAACGAUAACUUCCAUUAGUCAUCUCUGACUUUGGAGAAACUUCUUUCAGUCCAAAAUGAAGUAGCUAAAUUUCUCUUCCAUUCCCUUCCCGUGUAGUAACCCAAAUAAUAGAAUCAUUGCAAGUGGGUUCUCUUUUUACCCCUUUCAAUACUUUCCAUCCAAGAUAAGAGUCAGAGUAAAUCACAAAUACUUAUAAGUGAGUUGACAAGCAAAAAAAAGUGGGAACUAAAAGUACAAUUGAACCAUGCCAAUAUAAAUUUGUUUCAACUGUACUUAAUAGAAGUCAAUUUCAUUUCAUGUUGACUAGGACAUUUGUGGUUCUUGGUUCUGUUUGGUGUAUAUUGUAUACAAAAAGAAAAAAAAAGAUUUAUUUUACCAAAAUCAAUCUAAUAAGGGUAAAGUCAAACCAAACCGUUGAGUUAGUUCGUCAUUUAUGAGAUGCAGCUCUAAACCAAUAACAUAGAAGAAGCUAAGGAGUAACUUAGCACUUUAAUCGUUAACAUCAAGCAAGAAAAUUAUUUCCUUAGAGGGAAAAUUGCAAACUGCAAAGACAUUGAACGACUAUCAGCUACAACAUUUUUUAUCAGGUGCAGGAAGGAUCUUAGCCUUAUUGUUGACAACAAAAUUAUUACCUUAACAUAUAUUAUCGAUUUGGUUAGGUUUAUCAAGUUAACGCAAUUAAGGGAUCCAAACAAAUAAGUUUAACAUAAAACUUCUCUACAACCCGAGACCAAAUUAUCAAAUCAGCCUUAUCAGAUAAAAGUCAUCAAUUUCUAAAACUUUUACCACCAUUACGGCUCAUCAACUAUGCCAAAGAACUACAUUAACCUAAAGCAACAAACUUAUUGAAUUGCUCAUCUGGGAAUAAUUUGCCUGGCAUCAAGCACCAAGACAAACUAAUUGAUUGGUUGAUUGAUUCAAUCCAGAGACACUAAUUGAUUGCACCGAAAUCCCAAGCAAAGAACAAAAAUGAUGAACAAUUCAGCAUUGUCCGACUACAUAAGGGGCUCCUCUCGACUCAACUCAAGAUGAGAUGAACCAUUCGUCUACCUUUUGACUCAAAUAAGUAGUAUCACGACCAAGAGACUGGCAUCUAAGAUUUGCCAUGUUAAGAAACUUCAAUGUUUUUCAGUCCAUAUAUUUGUAUGUUGACAAUCGGAAGGCCAGGUACAAGCUAUCAUAAGUCAAAUUGCAGCACCUUUAUGAGUCAACUUGACCGGAAAAACUUGCACCAUCUUCAGAUAUCCACUCUCUACUUCCACCAUGCACAACAUUUUGAAACUACUGUCACUAAUCUUGAUCCACUUUCAAAGGGAACAACCAUACAGCUAAAUUCGAAACAACUAAAAAUCAAAAUCAUUUAAAGCAAAAUGCUUACAAGGAGGUUUUGCAGUAUCAACAGAAUAAGUUUCUGUUAUGAGAUUGAGAUCUAACUAGUCAAGCAUGCAGUUUGUUCCUACUGCCGUUAUAGCUCACUACAUGAGCAUUCAAUUAUUCGGUACAUUUCAAGUAUAAAAGAAAGUACUCGAAAAAUGUUUUCUACGUACUAUAUCUUCUCUUUCGAUCUCUAUGUUACUUCUCUACCCUCUUCUUUUUUUGUUCUCAUCGACUUAAUUCAACUUUGCAAUAACAUGGAUAGACAAAGAGAGAUAAAUCAUAAAACAAAACCACAAUAUCUUUAUUUGACAAGGGAAUAACUUUAGCUAAUAGAACUUACUUAAUAACUCAAUAUGGACAUAAUAUGAAUCUAAACGACAACUGAAAAGUUUACUUGACAUCAUCAUGAUCACCUCAAGCAAUUGCCAACACUGAAUGCAUGAAUCAAGUAUGACCUCAAUCUGGCCAAAUACUAAACAGGAGUCAUGUUAAAGAGGAAUGCCAACCAUCUUUCUGACACUAUUGAGGCAUCGAGCAAAACCCCAAUUAAGCUUGGAUCUCCAACAUACUCAGCAAUUUGACCAAGCCACAUGUUGAACAACUCCUGACUAUCAGCAUCGCGGGCUACACCAGUAUCUCAGUCAAAUCCCUGUCCACUAGACUCCCAUGGACAUGCUUUUAACCGCCAGACAAAAUACAAACCAGAAGCCCACGCUUGCGUAAUGCAGUCUCAAGAUAUUCUUGAUCUACACCUUAAAUAAAGUGCUUUGCUCCCAUCCAUUAGUAUAUCAUAAAUCUUCAGUCCAACGACAUCAACUGCCCUUCCCCUCUUCAGAUAUAAUUUCUCACCUUUCAAUUUGCUAAAUAGGAACCACGUGGCCACCCUUCCAACAUGGAAAUGGGAGAUGGGGUCUCCACCUUUUCAAGAGGUUGAGAUGGGGAUGAUUUAAUUUCAAGUGUGGGUUUCGACUCCUAUGCCCUACAAGGAGGCAGACAAAAAAUUCGAGAGUGAGAAUUAAAGUAGGAAUAAAGUAGAACCGACAAAAAAAAAAAAAAUUGUCUAACAGGAAACAUCCUUCUUGGCAUUCUUCCCCCACCCCUUUCCUAACACCCCUCUAAUAUACGUUGCCGCCGCAAAUUCCUCCACGGGCAUGCCCUCGUGCCCCUGAUCAUCCCCCAACUUUGCCACCUCCUACCUCAGUUUUUAGCUGGGAAUCAUCUAUGCUACCCGAUUUUUCCGGAUGCUUCUGGAUUGACCUUAUCAUCCCCAGACGGCUCGUUGCCAUUCUCUCUUCGACGGACAGUGAGGUCGUACGACACGGCACUGGCAUUUACCUCAUUGUCGAGGGACCUGCAUUGGCACUGGAACCAGGACAAUCGUCCGAGGUGGAGACAAGGUUCUUCAUCCUCUUGGGGGGACUUUACUAGUUGGACUUCGGCGUGAUAAGUAGCAGGUUUUUGCGGUUCGCUUCAUCAGUCGGGGCUAUCGGAGUGAAUCGAAUUGGGUGAUCUGCUCGCGCGAGAGCUUUAUGCCGAUCGACGAUGGCGGCUAAACAAAACCUAACCGAGCAAAAGAGCGAUGAGAGAACGAAAGUGGACCAAGAUGUCGGCACGACGGAGGAAACUUUGAAUUUUUGAAAUGCCAUCCUCAAAUUUGAGUGUCUGUUGCAAUUGGUUCCCGAUGCUCUUUUUUGUUCCUUGCCUGAUAAUUUUUUUUUCAAUUACGUCCUUUCUCCCAAACGUUCCCAGAGCAAUUUUUAUGUGCCUAUUUCUAAUAUCAUCAACACAAGGUCAAAUAACACUUCUAGUAAUUCUUCUUUAAUAUCAUCACAGGGGAUGAUCGCCGAAACCAAAACCCAAAAUCGUUGCGCGAUCCUAUCAAUCAAUCUAGACUAUUUUCGAGGUCUUAUGUGUUUACACUAAAAAAAUUAUCAAUUCAUCAUUUGUUAGUACCAUCUACUUUCCAUUCCAAAAAUACAAAAAAUUCUAAAUUCAACUUUUACAACCGAUGUGGCUCAUCAACGAUGCCAAAGAACUACAUAAACCUGAAGCGACAAACUUAUUGAAUUGCCAUCUAGGAAUAAUUUGCCCGGCACCAAUCACCAAGCACCAAGCACCAAGCACCAAGCACCGAGACAAACAAAUUGAUUGUUGACUGAUGCAAUCCAAAGACACCAAUUGUUUGUACCGAAAUCCCCAGCAAAGAGCAAAAAUGACGAGCACUUUAGGUUUUUUUUUUUCUUCUUUUCAGCAUGUGAUUAACCCUGACACACAUGUUAAAAAAAUGAUAAAUCGCGUAUUGUAUAAUAAUUAUAAAAAAAGAAUACAAGGAGUAUCUUUCAAAGAAGAUGAAUUAAGAGCCACCACAACAUAGUUUGUGGGCUCGUCUUAGUGGACAGGCUUGAAAGUGACUGGGCCUACUUAGGCCCAGUGUUAUCUCUAAUUGGAGCUUUACUGAUCAGGAUUGGUGCUUUACUCAUUAAGGAUUUGGUUGGUAACCGGCCAAAUAGUGUUUGUUUCUAUUAUUUUGUUCUCGAGAGUAGUUUUGGAACAUAAUUGCGUUUGGUAAAAAAAUUUGUUCGUGAGAAUAGAUUUCGAGUAGAAUCAAGAAUAAAAAAAAGUCGAUUCUUUGUUCCUGGGAACAAUUUUAUAAUCAAGUCUACCUAUUUUUUUCUUUUUGCUCCUCUUUCUUCUUCCCUCUCACUUGUUCUUCAAGUGCUGCUGUCGCUGCCACCCCUGGUUGAAUGUUGCCAUUUGCCACCCACCACUAUCAGCUGCCGGCAAGCUUGUUGGAGGCUCGCCAAGCCGCCAGUGGCUAGGUGGGCCUCCCCUGGCCACUGGUGAGCCUUGCUUGGCCGGGUGAGGCUCAACCUCGCCUAGCCGUCGGUGGGGCUCGACCUUGCCGACAGUUGGGCGAGCUCGGCCUCACCAAAUCUAGGCGAGGCCGAGCAACGCUUUGAUGAGGUUGUCGGCCCUCAUCUGUUCAGUUGCGGGUCAUCUCAAGGCCAGCAACCGGCCACCUUGAAGAAGAAGAAGAAGAAGAAGAAGAAGAAGAAGAAUAAGAAGGGGAGAAAGAAAGGAAAAAAAAAAGAAGAAAAAAAGGAAAAAUAAUAAAAUUAUUUAAAAAAAAAAUUGAAGUAGGAAUUGAAAUUUUGUUAUAUAUAGAAUACAUAUUUAAUUUGUAUUUUAAUUUAUUAUUUAGUAUUUAUAUUUAUAGUUUAUACUAUAGUUUAUUAUUUACUAUUUAAUAAAAAUUUGAUUAGUUAAUAUUUUUAUUACAUAGUAUAAAUAUAAUUAAUCAAUAUAAUUUCUAUGAUUUGGUAAAAUUUUAGAAUGGAAUAGAAUUCUAAAUUCAAAUCUUUUGAAAUUGAAAAUAUAAUAAAAUAUCUGAUUUAUUCAUUCAUAAGAAGAUAAUUAUAUUGGUGAGUGGUCCAUGAGAAUUCAAUAUCAAAUUUACACUCAUCUAAAAAGGUGAUUGAAAAAGAAUUGGAAUAGAAAUUUUAUGUAGUCACCAAGCGUAUUUCUGUUCUUUUUUUAUUUAUUAUUAUUUUAGAAUCAAAAUUUUGUGCAGUUACCAAACGUGUUCUUUUGUUCAGAAAUUGAACCUGAAAAUAGAAUAAAAAUGAAUCAUUUCUUAUGAGAAAUUGUUCUCGAGAACAGAAUGGUUACCAAACGCGCCCUAAGUGAGCUUAAGGGUAGUUGCUUUACUAGGUCUUUCUAUUACCUUUUGUUCAUGGGUUUACCCUUUAAGAGUUUAAAAAAUCAGCAAUGCUGUUGUCAUCGUGCAGAGGUCGUGUAACAGGAACAAUUUCAUGAAAAUAAUUAAAUGUCCAUGGUUUAUAUUCAUGUGUGUAAUUCUUGAUUAGACAUUAGUUCUGCGUAUUUACUGCUCUUUAAGUUACAAAAUAGAGGGAAUAAAAUUGUCUGACCCCAUGCAUGUCAAUUGUCAUUGGAUCGAAGAAAUUAUAUCUUAACUUUUUAGCCUUAAAAAGCUUUGUCUGCAUUGGAAGCAGCGUAAGUCAUUAACUUGAGUAUAGCAAGUCAAUCAGCAUUAGAUAUUUAAAGUCAUAUUCACACCAUAGGUGUAAUUCCUCGACAAGACACUUCGUCCUAAGCCUCACUCUAGAGUGAUGAAGCUGUGGUUUUCGGUGGAUGGUUUGCUUACAUUGUGGGGUGAACACCCCUCACCUCAUCCAUUCUGCAUGCAUAUCCUAAAUUUUUACCUUCUAACGCUGGAAAUUCUUUUGAGGGACUAUAUGACAAACAAAAUGCCUGAUUCAGGAAGAAUGUUUUCUGCUGAAACUCAAAUGCUAUCGUUGGUUUCUGGUCUUUAGCUUGUUUUCUAAUAUGUAUUAGCUGUGCAAGGCAUCAAAAAACCUAAUGAACAAUUAUGAAAACCUGUAUUGCUUGUUUAUUUAAGUGUGCAGUUUGUUGUUUUUCCCUUACAAUCGUGAAAAUUGAUUGAAUAGGAUUACAAGGCCUCUUGUGUGCACAUGAUGUGCUGAAAAGGAACAUCAGCAGGAAGUAAAUAGGAAAUGAAAGAUCAGAACAUUGAGAAAACAAUAAACUGAAGAAAGACAGCGGCCCACUCAAUAUGCGUUAAUAAGCUUUUGAGGAUGAACUCGUAAUUGUCUCGAAGAAUCUUCUAAGUGUUUCCUAUGCAAGGUCCAUUUGAUGGAAACCCCGGAUAGGCGUGUAUAUUUUUUUAAUCAACAAAUCAUCUUUUUCCUACCAGCUUUUCAACGAUUCUUUAACUGAUUCUUUAUGGAUUUCUUGAGCUGUCUGUUUGUUGUAACGGCUUUGACAGGAAAAACUCAACUAUCACUGAUCUUAUGUCUGGCUCCCGAAAAUGGCGAUUUUCAUGGAAUUCCAUGUGACGUGAAGGGUGUAAUCAAUUCAUAUCAGUUGAGUCCUUUUGAGGCAAAAGUGGGUUGUUUUCUCGUUAGCAUUUCAUGCUGAUUGCCCCAUAUUUAACAUUAUCUUAACUUGUAGAGAGAACCAUACGCAGCUUUGACAAGUUAUGGUAUCCGUGAGUACUAAUGUUUACUUACUGAGCAUCUUACAUUGCCAUGGACCGCUAGCGUAUUUGACAAGGAACUGCUAGCAUAUUUGACAUCUGUUCAUGCCUUUUCUCUUCCCCCAUAUUCCAAAUUCUAUAACUUUCUUUCAUGAAUUCUCCCUCAUUUUUUGGAGGGGACAUCUCAUUUAAGUAACUAAUGCAUAUUGGGCAAUAUGUCUACAUCGAAGUGUCUUUUAGAUUCCAUUCGUUUCGUGGAGAAUGUAGCAUUUUUAGAAAAAUAUUUUCUAAGAAAUCAUUUCUAAGAAAAUAUAAUUAUUUUCCGAUGUUUGGGUGAAACUUGAAAAUGAAGUGGAAAAUAUUUGCCGCUGUUCGGGAAGGAAAAUAUUUUCAUGUAUACACUCUUUUUCAUUUAUUUUAUUUUUAAAAAUCAAUUUUUAAUUAUUUUAUUAUUUUAAAAAUCAAGUAUUAAAUUAUUAUUUUUUUCAUUUUUUUCUUAUAUAUUUUUUCAUUUUUCUUUUCUUUUUUUUCCUCCUCUUCUUCUUGGUCGGUUGUCAGCCAUGGCGAUGGCCGACGAUUGGCCACAAGCGAGCCUAGGUUCGCCGCUCGCCGAUCUAGCAAGGCUCGAGUCCGGUGAGCUCAAGGCUCACUAGAUCAAUUAGCGUGACCUAUUAGCAAGUGCAUCACCACAAGUUCACGCUCACCAAUCUGGCGAGUGGUGAGCCUAAGCUUGCCAAAGGUGGGCACGCUCGAGGUUUGCCUGUGGCUGGUUGUUGGCCAUGGCCAUGGCCGGCAACCAGCCAAGAUAGAAGAAGAGGAAAAUGAAGAAAAGAAAAAAAAAAUUCUAAUUAAAAGAUGGAGAAGAAAAAGGGGGGAGGAAGCAAGGGUUUAUAGGGAUGCAAGACAAGAGAGACUAUCCAAUAAUUUCUCAUAUUUAUUAAAUAAUUUAAGAGUGACACGACAUCUCUUCGUUUAUCCUCAAUGCAUGUCACCUAAAUCUGAGAGGUGUAAGCACAUUUCUAUUGAUAUGUGGAACCUCGAACCUUUAACAGCUUCUAUUGAUGGAUGCCAAAAGGGGGGACUAUUUUGGGUUGUCAGCCAAAUUUUGCGUUCUUUUGUGAGAUAUUUGACGGUUCUUAAAACUGACUCUAUCAUUAGUACAUGUGAUUUCACUAGAUUGACAAUAAUUUUUGCCUAGAUCCGUGCAAUUAAGGUUGUGACUUAGGUAUUAGACUCCUUCAUUAUGCUUCAAUCGUAGCUCAUCCAUGGACAACGACCUUGCAUUUUGAUUAUGAUUUCUUAGUCUCAAUAAAUCACAACCACCGAAAUUUACAUGUGAAAAGCAGAUUUUUCUAUUUGUUGGCGUUGUAAGAUGGUGUGUAUGAUGGAAAGGGAGUUUGGUGGAGUCCUAGUUUGAAUGGGAGACAUGUUCUAUUAUUCAAACCCACCCGAACCAAACUUACAUCCAUUUUGUACUAGUGACACCCUGUUGAUUAGGAGCGGCUGGAUUGUGGAGGCAUUAGUUUUGGUUCUUUGGGGGGUGAUUUUGUGACAUUUACAAUCCACAGCAAACCUAAAAAGCACUGACACUCUUCGGGAGUUUUCGUGUCGUGUCUAACACUCUGACAGUCUCAUGCACUCUUUGACACUUUGUCAACACGUGUUGGAAAAUCUAACACCUGGUCAAUUUUUUUGACACUCUCUAACACUCGAGUCGAAAUUCCGUCUUGCGAGUUCUAGACAUGUCAUUCUGACAGGCAAGGUCAAUUUUGAAAAUUUUCUAAAAAUGAGGAUUCAAUAUAUAUAUAUAUAUAUAUAUAUAUGUUAAAAAUAAAUAAUAAUAAUAAUAAUAAUAAUAAUAAUAAUAAUAAUAAUAAUAAUAAUAAUAAUAAUAAUAAAUGGGAAAGAAGAAAAGUUAGUAUUCUCUUCUGUUUCGACAUGCAUUUCCUAUGAUACACAAUUCAUUUCAAAAGUUUUUUUUUUCUCCUCUUUUGACACAUCUGACACACGAAUUCAAAAUGUGAAUUGCUUGUUUUUUUCCUCUAAGUUUUAUGGAUUAUUGGAAUGAAGUUGAAUUUAUCAACUUGAAACAAUGAAUGAUAUUAAUAAAUUCUGGAUUAAUGUUUUUGGUUUAAAUUCAUUCUAGGCUUUUGUUAUUAUUUAUUUAUUUGUGAAUUUGAAUCAACUUAAUUUGAUUGAAAUAAUCAUAAAAAUAAUAAUUUGUCAUGUAUAUAUAAAAAUAUACAUUUAGUAUACAACGUGUUAGAAUUCUCUUUUUUUUUUUUAGAAAUGAUUUAUCGGUGUGUCGUGUCGUGUUGCAUGUUGUGUGUCGAUAUUGGUGUUGGUGUCGGUGCCAUUUAGUAGUGUACGACCUUCGGCUUCAAUAGCGGAGAUAUGAAAGUAUGGGAUUGUAGUUAUUCCUGACCUAACAUCGCAAAGACAUUUUAUGACGUUUUUCUUAUUGUUUCUUCUUGAAAUUUGGCGAGUUCUCACUCAUUUUCUUUCAUAUUUUUGCUUUAUUUUUUUGUUUAUAUUCGACGGUUUCCGAGAGAAUGUUUUAUAAUUUGAGAUAUUGAGUUUUACAAAGAGUAAAAUAAAAAUUUAGAGGCUUUUCAUGAUAUUUGGCCUUCAAAUUAUUUCCAUUUUGUCCGCUAUUGCUAAUACUUUUAUUAGUUUAUCUUAAAGGAAACAACAUAUUUAGUGACAUUUUUUUAGAAAAAAAAAAGUCGGAAGAUGCAUAGUUGGGGAUUAUCAGUAAUUUCCUUAAAUGUCCAUAUUUCUAGGAUUAUAUAUAUAUAUAUAUAUAUAUAUAUAUGUAUGUAUCUUCUAUAACUAUACAUAUCCUCGAUUGAAUGAUGUUAUUAGACUUAUGUAUUUUUCAUUACAAGAUAAAGAAUAAUUCUCUCUUCCACAUAUUUCUUCUCUUGCUAUAGAGCUUUUUGUGGUGAAAAAAGAUACAUAAGUGCCAUCUAACUUUUUCAAUUAGUUUGGUGCUAUAUCGCCAUGUUGGUUGAAUAUUGAUUACUACAAUGCUUAUCAUGAGAUAUUCUGGCUAUUUGUCUUAUGUUAUUUUUUAAAUUAAUUUUUCAGUUUGGCAUGGCAUUUUAAAAAGAAACCAAAGUCUAGAUAAAGCACUAGAGGAAGGAAAAUUACCAAAAUAAAUCUAAAUCUAUUGCAAUUUUUCUAAUUCAAUUCUAAGUACUUUUUUUUUUGGCUAAUUCAUUUAUAAGAUUUUUGCAAUUGUGUUAAUUUAGUCAAUUUGGUCAAUUUUGGCCUACCGAUGCUGAUGUGGACAAUUUUUGAAUAAUAUUAUAUAUUUUUGAAUUUAUUAUUAUUUUUUCUUUUUUCCUUUUCUUUUCCUUUUUCCUCCUUCUUCUUUUUCCCUCCUCCCUCUGUCUAGCCAGCCAGAGGCGAGCGUCGGCAAGGCUCGCCCCUGCUGGCCAAUGCGAGGCCACCCUCACCAUGGCUAGGUGAGGCCUCGCCUGCCUCUAGCCUAGGCAAGAGGUGUAAGCACAUUUCGGUUGAUAUGUGGAAACUCUAAUAGCUACUAUUGAUGGAUGCUAGAAGGAGGAACUUUUUUGGGUUGUAAGCCAAAUUUUGCGUUCUUUUGCGAGACAUUUGAAGGUUCUUAGAAUAUGACUUUAUCAUUAGUACAUGUAAUUUCACCAGAUUGACCAUAAUUAUGCUCCUAGAUCCCUAAGAAAUUCACUUUAAGUGAAACAAAUGCCGAAAAAUUUGAAAAAUGUUUUCUUGGACAUUAUUUUUUUGUGAAACGAAAAAUGCCCUAGCUGAAAAUAGUUCUUUCGCAAUGAUCUCCUUUCUGCUGCUUUAAGGGGUAUAGUUGUGUUUACGACCAAAGUGGACUGAUAUGGGCUUUGCUUGGGAAUUUCUUUUGGUCUUUGUAGUUUCUUUUUGGGUUAAUAUCUUGAAAGUACACAUGUGAUAAAUUUACUUUGAACUAAUUUUUUUACCAUAAAAAUAUCCAUUUCCAUUGAUGACUUGUUAUUCUUUCUUUUUUUUCAAAACCUUUCCUUUUUUUUUUUAAUUUCAUAUAAUAAAUAAGGAUGUACAAUAGAUAAAAUCCUAAGUUAAGAACAUUGAAAAAUUAAGCAACCAAAAACUGGUACAUCUUUGAUAAAUUUAUCCCAAACUAGUAUAUUUAUGACAAAUUCAUCCUCUAAUAGUUUCCAUUGAAUUUUACUAUCAAAUUGCUAAAUGUGAUGACACGUGACAGUUGACUAGUGUACCAAUUUGGGAUUUUACUCUUCUUAUGUCACAAUUGUACAAUUCGUGUAGUUUUUUUUUUUUGGUGGUAUUAAUCUAAUUUAACAAAGCGUAUUAGUUUAUCUUAAAGGAAACAACAUUUUUAUUGAAUUUUUUUUAGAAAAAAAAUAAAAGUCAGAAGAUGCAAAGUUGGGGAUUAUUAGUAUAAUUCCUCAAAUGUCCAUAUUUCUAGGAUUAUAAAUAUAUAUAUAUAUAUAUAUUCUUUAACUGUACAUAUCCUCGAUUGAAUGAUGUUUAGACUUAUAUAUAUUCUCUCUUCCACAUAUUUCUUCUCUUGCUAUAGAUCUUUUUGUGGGGAAAAAGAUACAUAAGUGCCAUCAAACUUUUCAAUCAGUUUGGUACUAUAUCGCCAUGUUCGUUAAAUAUUGAUUACUACAAUGCUUCUCGUGAGAUAUUCUAACUAUUUGUCUUAUGUGGUUUUUUAAAUUAAUUUUUUAGUCUGGCAUGGCAUUUUAAAAAGAAGCUGAUGUCUAGAGGAGGGAAAAUUACCAAAAUAGACAUAAACCUAUUACAAUUUUUCUAAUUCAAUUCUAAACAUUUUUUUUUCUGGCCAAUUUGGCCUACACUGACAUGGAUAAUUUUUUAAUAAUAUUAUAUCUUUGGAAUUUGUUAUUCUUUUUUAUUUUAUUUUUCCUUUUUUCCCCUUCUUCCUCCUCCCUCCUUCCUCUGGCCAGCUAACUAGAGGUGAGCGCCGGCGAGGCUUGCCCCUGCUGGCCACUGGUGAGGCUACCCUUGUCAUGGCUAUGUGAGGCCCUGCCUACUUUUGGCCUAGGCAAGCCUCAUUAGCCAUGGGUAAGUCGUGGCAAGGCUUGAUUUUCGCUAGAUCCAGCGAGGGUGAGCCUCGCCCAACCACUAGCAACCCUCGCCGAGGCCUCCGGCAAGGUCGAGCCUCACCCAUGUCCGAUGGGGCUUGACCCUCGCUAGAUCCGACGAGGGCAAGCCCCACCAGCCCAGCUAACGGCUUAGGUGAGGUCAUAUGGUCAUCACCAGGCUUCCUUGAGGCUAGUGAGGUCCUUCGCCAGCCCUGCCUUUGGUGGCGAUCGGUUAGAGGAAGGAGAAGGAAGUGAAGAAAGAAAAAGAAUAAAAUUAAUAAAAAAAAUUGUAUAUUUUUGUCAAAUGUUUGAAAGUUUGGAUAAAAUCCAACUUUAACAUUAGUAGAUGUAAUUUCACUAAUUUGACAAUAAAAAUGGCUGUAGAUCUAUGCCAUUAAAAUUGUGACUCUGGUAUAGGAGUCUCGUUCAAAGAAUUAAUAAUGGAGGGAGAGAUAGUAAGGAGAGGGAAGAGAGGAAGUUUUGAAAACUCUAAUAAGUAUGACCCAUUUCAAACACGUUAUAAUUAGUGAGUGGAGCUUGCAUGGAAAGCCACGACUAUCCAAUAAUUUCUCACAUUUAUUAAAUAAUUUAAGAGUGACACGGCAUCUCUUUGUUUAUCCUCAAUGCAUAUCACCUAAAUCCAGGUGUAAGCACAUUUCAAUUGAUAUGUGGAACCUCUAAUAGCUACUAUUAUUGGAUGCCAGAAGAGGGGGACUGUUUCGGGUUGUGAGCCAAAUUUUGCAUUUUUUUGUGAGACAUUUGAAGGUUCUUAAAAUCUCUCUUUAUCAUUAGUAGGUGUAAUUUCACUUGAUUGACAAUAAUUUUGCUCCUAGAUUCAUGCAAUUAAGAUCGUGACUUAGGUAUUAGACUCCUUCGUUAUGCUUCAAUCAUAGCUCAUCAAUGGACAAUGACCUUGCAUUUUGAUUAUGAUUUCUUAGUCUCAAUAAAUCACAACCAUCAAAAUUUACGUGUGAAAAGCAGCUUUUUAUAUUUCUUGGCAUUGUAAGAUGGUACGCAUGAUGGAAAGGGAGUUUGGUGGAGUCCUAGUUUGAAUGGGUGACAUGUUCUAUUAUUCAAACCCACCCAAGCCAAACUUACAUCCAUUUUGUACUAGUGACACCCUAUUGAUUAGGAACGGCUGGAUUUUGUAGGCAUUAGUUUUGGUUCUUGGGGGGAAUUUUAUGACAUUUACAAUCCGUAGCAAACCUAAAAAGCACUAACACUUUUUGGGAGUUUUCGUGUUGUGUCUAACACUUCGAUAGUCUCGUGCACUCUUCGAUACUUCGUCAACACGUGUCGUAAAAUUCAACAUCUGAUCAAUUUUUUCGACACUCUCUAACACUCGAGCUGAAAUUCCGACUUGCAAGUUUCUGACAUUUGAUUUAGACACACGAGGUCAACUUUAAAAUUUUUCAAAAAAUGAGGGGUCAAAAAAUAUAUAUGUUAAAAAAUAAGAAAAUAAUGAUAAAAAUAAUAAAUGGGAAAGAAGAAAAGUUAGUAUUCUCUUUUGUCUCGACUCACUCUUCUGGUGAUAUGCAAUUCAUCCCCCAAGUUUUUCUUUUCUUUUCUCUUCCGACACAUUUGACACGCGAAUCCAGAAUAUGAAUUGCUUUUUUUUUUUCUCUAAGUUUUAUGGAUUAUUGGAAUGAAGUUGAAUUUAUCAAGCUGAAACAAUGAAUGAUAUUAAUCAGCCUAGGCAAGGUUGUCUGGCCAUGGCCAGGCUUCCUUGAGGCUGGUGAGGUCGCUUGGCAACCUUGGCUUUGGUGGUGACUGGUUAGAGGAAGGAGAAGGAAGUGAAGAAAGAAAAAGAAAAAGAAUAAUAAAAAAAAUUGUGUUCUUUUGUGAAAUGUUUGAAAGUUAGGAUAGAAUCCAACUUUGACAUUAGUAGAUGUAAUUUCACUAAUUUGAUAAUAAAAAUGGUUGUCAAUCCGUGCUAUUAAAAUUGUGACUUAGGUAUCGGAGUCUCAUUCAAGGAAUUAAUAAUGGAGGGAGAGAGUAAGGAGAGGGAAGGGAGGAAAUUUUGAAAACUCUAAUGAGUAUGACUCAUUUCGAACACAUGGUAAUUAGCGAGUGGAGCUUGUGCGAAAAGCCACAACUAUUUAAUAGUUUCUCACAUUUAUUAAAUAACUUAAGAGUGACACGACAUCUCUUCGUUUAUCCUCAAUGCAUGUUACCUAAAUUCUAGAGGUGUAAGCACAUUUCUGUUGAUACGUGGAACUUGUAAUAGCUUCUAUUGAUGGAUGCCAAAAGGAUGGAUUGUUUUGGGUUGUCAGCCAAAUUUUGCGUUUAUUUGUGAGACAUUUGACGGUUCUUAAAAUCUGACUUUAUCAAUAGUACGUGUGAUUUCACUAGAUUGACAAUAGUUUUGCUCCUAGAUUCGUGCAAUUAAGGUCGUGACUUAGGUAUUAGACUCCUUCGUUAUGCUUCAAUCGUAGCUCAUCCAUGGAUAACAACCUUGCAUUUUGAUCAUGAUUUCUUAGUCUCAAUAAAUCACAACCACGAAAAUUUAAAUGUGAAAAGCAUAUUUUUCUAUUUGUUGGCGUUGUAAGAUGGUGCGUAUGGUGGAAAGGGAGUUUGGUGGAGUCCUAGUUUGAAUGGGAGACAUGUUCUAUUAUUCAAACCCACCUAAACCAAACUUACAUCCAUUUUGUACUAGUGACACCCUAUUGAUUAGGAGCGACUGGAUUUUGGAGGCAUUAGUUUUGGUUCUUUGGGGGGAUAUCGUGACAUUUACAAUUCACAGCAAACCUAAAAAGCAUUGACACUCUUCAGGAGUUUUAGUGUCGUGUCUAACACUCCAACAGUCCUUUGCACUCUUUGACACUCUGUUAACAUGUGUUGGAAAAUCCAAUACCUGGUCAACUUUUUCGACACUCUCUAACACUCAAGUCGAAAUUCCAUCUUGUGAGUUUUAGACAUGUGAUUCUGACCGACAAGGUCAAUUUUGAAAAUUUCGAAAAAUGAGGGUUCAAAAUAUAUAUGUUAAAAAUAAAAAAUAAUAAUAAAAAUAAUAAAUGGGAAAGAAGAAAAAGUUAGUAUUCUCUUCUGUUUCCACUCACAUUUCCUAUGAUACACAAUUCAUCCCAAAUUUUUUUUUUCUCUUCUCUUCCGACAUGUUUGACACACGAAUUCAAAAUGUGAAUUGCUUGUUUUUUUCCUCUAAUUUUUAUGGAAUAUUGGAAUGAUGUUGAAUUUAUCAACUUGAAACAAUGAAUGAUACAAAUAAAUUCUGGAUUAAUGUUUUUGGUUAAAUUCAUUCCAGGCUUUUGUUGUUAUUUAUUUAUUUGUGAAAUUGAAUCAAAUUAAUUUGAUUGAAAUAAUCAUAAAAAUAAUAAUUUGUCAUGUAUAUAUAAAAAUAUACAUUUAAUAUACAACGUGUUAGAAUUCUUUUGUUUUUUUAGAAAUGACUUAUCAGUGUCUCGUGUCGUGUCGCGUGUUGUAUGUCGAUGUUGGUGUUGGUGUCGGUGCUAUUUAGUAGUGUACGACCUUCGGCUUCAAUAGCGGAGAUCUGAAACUAUGGGAUUGUAUUUAUUCCUGACCUAACAUCGCAAAGACAUUUUAUGAGGUUUUUCUUAUUGUUUCUUCUUGAAAUUUGGCGAGUUCUCACUCAUUUUCUUUCAUAUUUUUGCUUUAUUUUUUUGUUUAUAUUCGACAGUUUCCGAGAGAAAGUUUUAUAAUUUGAGAUACUGAUUUCACAAAAAGUAAAAAAAAAAAAAGUUAGAGGCUUUUCAUGAUAUUUGGCCUUCAAAUUAUUUCCAUUUUUUCCGCUAUUGCUAAUACUUUUAUUAGUUUAUCUUAAAGGAAACAACAUAUUUAGUGACAUUUUUUUAGAAAAAAAAAAGUCGGAAGAUGCAUGGUUGGGGAUUACCUAUAAUUUCCUUAAAUGUCCAUAUUUCUAGGAUUAUAUAUAUAUUAUAACUGUACAUAUCCUCGAUUGAAUGAUGUUAUUAGACUUAUGUAUUUUUCAUUACAAGAUAAAGAAUAAUUCUCUCUUCCACAUAUUUCUUCUCUUGCUAUAGAGCUUUUUGUGGGGGAAAAAGAUACAUAAGUGCCAUUUGACAUUUUCAAUCAAUUUGGUGCUAUAUCGCAAUGUUGGUUGAAUAUUGAUUACUACAACGCUUCUUGUGAGAUAUUGUAGCUAUUUGUCUUAUGUUAUUUUUUAAGUUAAUUUUUCAGUUUGGCAUGGCAUUUUAAAAAGAAACCAAAGUCUAGAUAAAGCACUAGAGGAAGGAAAAUUACCAAAAUAAAUCUAAAUCUAUUGCAAUUUUUCCAAUUCAAUUUUAAUUUUUUUUUUGGCUUAUUUAGUUAUAAGCUUUUUGCAAUGUGCUGAUUUAGUCAAUUCGGUCAAUUUUGGCCGGUCAAUGCUGAUGUGGACAAUUUUUGAAUAAUAUUAUAUAUUUUCGAAUUUAUUAUUAUUAUUAUUAUUUCCUUUUUUUAUUUUCUUUUUCCUUUUUUUUGCUUCUUCUUUCUCCCUCUUUCCUCUGGCCAGCCAACCAAAGGCGAGCGCCGGUAAGGCUCACCCCUGCUAGCCAAUGCGAGGCCACCCUUGCCAUGGCUAGGUGAGGCCCCACCUGCCUCUGGCCUAGGCAAGAGGUGUAUGCACAUUUCGGUUGAUAUGUGGAACCUCUAACAUCUAGUAUUGAUGGAUGCCAAAAGGAGGGACUUUUUUUGGGUUGUAAGCCAAAUUUUCCCUUCAUUUUUGAGACAUAUGAAGGUUCUUAGAAUAUGACUUUAUCAUUAGUACAUGUAAUUUCACCAAAUUGACCAUAAUUAUGCUCCUAGAUCCGUGCAAUUAAGAUCAUGACUUAGGUACUAGACUCCUUCGUUAUGCUUCAAUCAUAGCUCAUCUAUGGAUAAUGACCUUGCAUUUUGAUUAUGAUUUUUUAGUCUCGAUAUAUCACAAGCAUCAAAAUUUACAUGUGAAAAGCAAUUUUUUCUAUUUGUUGGCAUUGUAAGACAGUACGUAUGAUGGAAAGGGAGUUUGGCGGAGUCCUAGUUUGAUUGGUAGACAUGUCCUAUUAUUCAAAGCCACCCCAACCAAACUUUCAUCAAUUUUGUACUAGUGGCAUCCUAUUGAUUAGGAGCGGCUGGAUUUUGGGGGCAUUAGUUUUGGUUCUUUGGGGGGAUUUUGUGACAUUUGCAAUCAACAGCAAACCUAGGAAGCAUUGAUACUUUUCGGGAGCUUUUAUAUCGUGUUCGACAUUUUGACACUCUCAUGUACUCUUUGACACUUUGUCAAUACGUGUUGGAAAAUCCAACACUUGGCCAACUUUUUUAACAUUCUCCGACACUUGAGUCAAAAUUCCGACAUGCGAGUUUCCGACAUGUAAUUCUAACACGUUAGGUCAAUUUUAAAAAUUUUCAAAAAAAGAGGGGUCGAUAUAUAUAUGUGUGUGUGUGUGUGUGUGUGUGUGUGUGGAAAAGUGAAAAGUAAUUAAAAAAUAAUAAAUGGGAAAGAAGAAAAGUUAGUCUUCUCUUAUGUUCUAACUCUCACUUGCCAUAAUACACAGUUCAUCCCCCAAGUUUUUUUUUUCUUUUUUCUUCUGACAUGUCUGACACACGAAUCUAGAAUAUGAAUUGCUUGUUUUUUUCCUCUAAGUUUUAUGAAUUAUUGGAAUGAAGUUGAAUUUAUCAAAUUGAAGCAAUGAAUAAUAUUAACAAAUUUUGGAUUAAUGUUUUUGGUUUAAAUUAAUUCUAGGCUCUUAUUUAUUUAUUUAUUUAUUUGUGAAUUUGAAUCAAAUUAAUUUGAUUGAAAUAAUCAUAAAAAUAAUAAUUUAUUAUGUAUAUAUAAAAAUAUACAUUUAAUAUAUAACAUGUCAGAGUUCUCUUUUUUUGAGAAAGACGUGUCAGCAUGUGAUGUUGUAUUAUGUCAUGUCGCAUGUCGAAUGUUGGUGUGGGUGUUGGUGCUACUUAGUAGUAAACGACCUUUGGCUUCAAGAGUGGAUAUAUGAAGGCAUGGGAUUGUAAUUAUUCUUGACCUGACAUCGCAAAGAUGUUCUAUGGCGUUUUUCUUAUUGUUUCUUCUUGAAAUUUGGUGAGUUCUCACUCAUUUUCUUUCAUAUUUUUGCUUUAUUUUUUUUUGUUUAUAUUCGACAGUCUCCGAGAGAAUGUUUUAUAAUUGGAGAUAGUGAUUUUUAUAAAAAAGAAAAAAAAAAGUUGAGAGGCUUUUCAUGAUAUUUGGCCUCAAAUUAUUUCUAUUGUGUCAACUGUUCCUAAUCCUUUUAUUAGUUUAUCUUAAAGGAGACAACACUUUUAUUGACUUUUUUUAGAAAAAAAUAAAAGUCGGAAGAUGCAUAGUUGGGGAUUAUAAGUACAUUUCCUUAAUUGUCCAUAUUUCUAGGAUAAUAUAUAUAUAUAUAUAUAUAUAUAUAUAUAUAUCAUCUAACUAUACAUAUCAUCGAUUGAAUGAUGUUAUUAGACUCAUGUAUUCUUCAUUACAAGAUAAACAAUAAUUCUCUCUUCCAUAUAUUUCUUCUCUUGCUUUUUGUGGGGAAAAAGAUACAUAAGUACCAUCUAACUUUUUCAAUCAGUUUGGUGCUAUAUCACCAUGUUGGUUGAAUAUUGAUUAUUACAAUGCUUCUCGUGAGAUAUUCCAGCUAUUUGUCUUAUGUGGUUUUUUAAAUUAAUUUUUCAUUUUGGCAUGACAUUUUAAAAAGAAACCGAAGUCUAGACAAAGCACUAGAGGAGGGAAAAUUACUAAAACAUGCCUAAACCUAUUGCAAUUUUUCCAAGUCUGUUCUAAGCCUUUUUUUUUUUUGCCGAUUCAGUCUAUUUAGCCAAUUUUGGCCAAUCGGCGCCAGCCGUCUAGUCGAUGCUGGAUUGGAAAAACUGCGAUAGGUUUAGGACUAUUUUGGUAAUUUUCUCCACAAGAGGACAUGGAACUUGUGUCUAAGUGAAGCCAAACGAGAAGAAGCCAAAGAAGAACGAUGGAAGACAUACCGAGAGUCAAAGCGACUGUCUUGGUUAGCUCCACAACAUUUAUUCGUUUGUUUCCUGCCAAAUAUCCUGAAUAACAUAUAAAACUGGAUUUUCAUUUAUCUAUUUCGGAGCUUAUUAUUGAUAGUGGCAUGAUAUGUUCUCCGCUGUGCGACUUCAAAGGGAAUGAUCAUCUAACUUACUACAGUUUUGUGAAGUCAGUUGAUUUUGCGCUCUGUAUUUCUGCAGCUCGCAGUUUUCUAUUUUCAUCAGGAAAUGUAUCAAAAAAGUCUUCAACCUAGAGUAUAUGGCUUCGGCUUCACUUUGCAGAGCAACGCCAAGUCUCCAUCACUUUGUCCUGACAAAAUUGACAUGAUCGGGAGCCACUUGUUCGGCUCCUAGUCUUCAUUGCAAAUAUCAACAACUAAUUUUGCCCUAAAUCCUUGUCUGUGGAAUUAGGUUUCAAGAGCCCAACGAAUUUAAUCUAAAUUGUUAAUUUAAGGCAAACAAAUGUGAUGCAAAGCCUUUUUUUUUUUUUUUUUACUUUGUCGGCAAGCUACAUCAAACCUUUUGCAUUAAAAUAAGGCUACGACAGAUUUUUCAGAUACACAAAUUGCCAUUAGCACCAAGGUGAUCAAUUUUUCACCAAAAUUGCAUUGAAGUGAUUGGGAAAAAGGUUGUGGCAUUGAUAUGGAAAUUAUAUGAAAGUUAUGACACUUGGAGAGUCAUUUUCCCGAACUUUUGUUGUUUGAGGAAGAGCCCCUUGAGCCUUUUACACAAUGUUUGUAGCAACAAAGCAUAAGCGACGCCGAUGUUGUUUUCCACCAAACUCGUCACUCUUGAGUGCUGUUUUGAUGCUCUUAUGUUGCUUGUUUCGGAAAUUUCAUUGCUAUUCGCUGCCACAAGUGCCUUCAUGCGCUUCUGCCCCAUUGGUUUCACAUGCCCUGUGCCUUCGUGCGCCGAAGCUCCUUCACAUGUAUUGUUGACGUCAUCACACAUAAGCACUGGCGAGGCGUCCAGUCGAUACACAUGUCAUGUAGAAAGCGUUUUGCAUGUAGCAACAAAAAUAAGUCAUCCAAUGGUAUGUUUGGUAACAUGUCAAACAAUAUUUGAUAAUAUUAUUUUGUUCUUCAGAACAAAAAAGAAGAAAAUUUCGUUUGGUAAUUUUUUGGUUUCUGGAAAUAAAUUUGGAAUAGAAUCAAAAGUAAAAAAAAACUUACUUCUUUGCUUUCGGGAACAACUCCAAAAUCAAACCAAAUCAUGUUCUUUUUUUUUUCUCUUCUAUUUUCUUCUUUUCCUUUUCUUGCUUUUUCUUUUUCCUCUAGCUGAUCGCAAAAAUAUAAUAAAAUUAUUUUAAAAAUAUAAUAAAUUAGGGUAUUAUGCUAAAAAUCCUAAACUGAUAUACUUGUGACAAAUUAUCCCAAAUUAAUUUUUUGACUAUCAAAAACCUCAAAUUAGUACACUUUUGACACAUUUACCCUAAACUGAUACACUUACGAUAAAUUUACCUUAUGUUAGUUUUCGUUAAAUUUUAUUAUCAAAUUAUUAAAUUAAAUGAUACAUGACAGUGGAUUAGUGUACUAGCUUGUGAUUUUACUAACUACUUAUCACAGUUAUUUUAUUUUUGUGAUUUUUCGUGUUAUGAAUCUAAAUUUAACAGAGAUUAUAUUUAUCAAAAAUGUACCAAUUUGGGUUUAUGACAGUCAAACAAAUUAGUUUUUGGUAAAUUUGUCACAAAUGUAUCAGUUUGAGUUUUUUGUAGUCACUUGGGAUAAAUUCAUUACAAAGGUACUAUAUUAGGGUUUUUCAUGGUCAAAAAGUUAGUUUUUGGUAAAUUUGUCAAAGGUGUAUCAGUUUAGAAUUUUUCAAGGUAUAACCCUAAAAAUUAAAAGAAAAUUUAAAAAUAUAAUAAAAAUAUAAUAUAAAUUAUAUUAAAAAUAUGAUAAAAUUCUACAAUAAAAUUGAAAAAUAUAUAAUAAAAUAAUUUAAAAAAUGUAAUAAUAUUAUAUAAUGAAAUUAUAACAUAAAAUUAUAUUUAAAAUAUAAUAAAAUUACUAAUAAAAUCAUAUUAUAAUAUGAUAAUAUUAUAUAAUAAAAUUAAAAAUUUAUAAAAAAAAUAAUUAAAAAACAAGAUUAAAUAAUAAAUUUAUUAAAAAUUUAAAAGAGGAAAAAUUAAAAAGUAUUAAAAAAUUAAAAGAAAUUCUAACUCACAAAAAAUUUAAGGUUCAUAACAAACACAUUUCUAUUUCAAGAAUAUGAAGUUUAAGUAGUUACCAAAUGUCUUCAAAUGCUCAGAAACUAAUCAAUAAAAUAAAAUAGAAAAGAAUAAUUUCUUAGUAGAAAUUGUUCAUGAGAACGGAAUGGUUACCAAACGCAACCUAAAUUUUCAUUAAGACCCAACUUGAUUGAAUUUUAAAUUUUUAAGUUCAUUUUCACCUUACCUUUUAAAUGUUUAAACAACCCAUGUACAACCUACUUGUAAUAAUAUGAGUCAAAAAAUGGGUCUAUGAUUCAUUCUGACACCUCUAAUUCCAAAGCACCUCGUUCUUAUUCAUCCAAAUAAAUCAUGGUGUGUCAAGAAGAUUCGGUUUGGAAAAAAAAAUAAAAAAGUGCAUAAAGUACAAUGCUUAGAGAAUGGCUUGAGUAAAUAUGAAAAAAUCUGCUUGAAUAGCAGCUACAAAUUAUCUCCGGUGAGGGGGGCUCCAUACCAACCCCUAUAUAAAGGAUAGUUGGCAUACUAAGUGACUCGCCACAGAAUUCGCAAUGGCUAUUCAGGCAUUGUCAACAAGCUUCCUCUCCUCCUCAAUUCACCAUAACUAGCCCUCUCUCUUAUUCUUUAGGCACCUCCGCUCCUCCUCCUCCACCGCCUCCAAUGCUCAAUUCGUGACAUGUGCUUUGAAGAUUGAAGUUCAAGAGAUCGGGAGACAUUCGGCGAAUUGGCAACCUAGCGUUUGGGACUAUGACUUCUUGCAGUCACUCAACGUUAAUUACACGGUAACAAAUUUUCUUUUGUUUUUUUUUUCAGCACAAAACCCAGCCUAGCUUAAGUACUAUGGGAAAUAUUCACAUUUGUUCCUCGAACUUGGAAAAAUUUCCCAACAAUUUUUCAGGUCUAUGGUUCUGACAAUUUCGGUAACAAUUUAUUCCAUGAUGGCACUGAUUAUUUGAGUAUUAUACUUUUGUUUGGCAUCGAUUAAUACCUCGGCUUCACUUAGCCGUGCUCAAAUUUAAGUUACCAUGCCAACGACAGAAAAGAAAUAUAAAAAAAUAAGUUUAGUGACCGAGGUGCACUGUUUCCCUAUUUUCUACUUACUUUGGUGGGAUGAGUCCAUAAAUCCCAAAACGACAUGGAAACAAAGGACAAACUUUACUUUAAAUCCGGUUUAUGGAUGUAUACAUCUUGUGUACUUCUGUAUACGAUUUAUAUAUGACAUUCGAGAUAUGUAAAAUCAAUUUGUACCUUCAUCCAUUACCAAAGUAUCAAAUGUACGGCCAACCGCAACAAUAUUCUAUAGGAGAUAUCGAUAAACCUAGUCAAAACGGCAUAUUCUCAACAAAAAGGCAAGAGCUCAACAGUGCUUGUGCAUCAACUUUGAUUAAGAUCUCAUUUUUCAGAGUUUUUCAUGUGCUAGGAGGAUAAAUGUUCAAGUCCAAAGGUUGAAGAAAGAAGUCAAGGGUCUAUUCGACGGGGAGAUGAAUCAGGUGGCCAAGCUCAAGUUCAUUGACAUAGUUCAAAGACUAGGACUAAGAUACCAAUUUGAGACGGAGAUCAAGAAUGCUCUAAGUUCCAUCUAUAACAACACCUAAGAUGCUCAAUUUUUGGACAAUCUUGAUGUAGUUUCCCUUCGAUUCCGGCUACUCAGACAACAUGGAUACAACAUACCGCAAGGUACUCGUAUAGUUUCGACAUCUUAGAGCUCACAGAGCCACCCUAAAAUACUAAGACACAUAAGAUCAUAGGGUCUCUCCACAAGCAAGACCGUUGGUCAAUAAUGCAUGCCUAAUCGAGGGGCACUGGUUCGUAUAUAGCCGACGCAAGAUAGUCCUUGGUAUCAUUACUGGGUUGGCCGAAUCCGUCUCCACGUCCGUAAAAAGUAUGACAAAUUUGUGCCAUGUUUAAACAGGCACCAAGAAAAGGCCUAAUCCGGGAAUUCGGUAGUCUUCAAACACGGCUCUAUUCAUCCACUUCCAGGCCUCACGCACCAUAUGCAUUAUGUGUUCACGCAAAACCUUUUCCGACGCGCCGGUUUCAUUUAUGUAGCAUUCCAAUGCCUUCAAGUUGUCUCCUCGUGCCAAUUCAUGCUAAGCAUGGACAAUUAUUGUUGAGUUAUAACCAUAAAUCCAAAUACUCUCCUCACUUUCGCAUCGAAGAAAUAAAAAAGAAGAUGUACUCUUUUUUUCUUAUGAGCCACUAUUUGCAAGGAGAAGAACAAUAAAAGUAAGUUACCGAUGAUGUACUGAAAUCAUUGAUGAGUCGAGUCAUCUUGCAUGAACAACGCAUGAUGCUCGGGAUUUUUGACACGUAAUCAAGUCCCUCUUCCGUCAAUAAAUCCGUGGUUAGGAAGUAACUGGGCAACAACAAAACCACCCCUCCAGAUGAAUUCCUCGCAAUGUCAAUGUAUUCCUUCAGGGUCGGUUUAAUGCCCUUGCUGCGCCAAUGGACCUCCUCCAGGUACGCCUUGCAUUGAUCGGCCCACUAUAGGAUUAAAAUUCAGAAAUGAUUUCAUGCAAGAUGACUCGACUCAUCAAUGAUUUCAGUACAUCAAUUCCCUCUUCCGUCAAUAUAUCCGUGGUUAGGAAGUAACUAGGCAACAACAAAACCACCCCUCCAGAUGAAUUGCUCCCAACGUCAAUGUAUUCCUUCAGGGUCGGUUUAAUUCCCUUGCUGCGCCAAUGGACCUCCUCCAGGUACGCCUUGCAUUGAUCGGCCCACUAUAGGAUUAAAAUUCGGAAAAGUGUGUCAAUGACCAAGUCAAGGGACGUUCUUUUCUCAUACUUUUUCGGACUCUCAAACGUUCCAAGAGAAGUCAUAACGAAAGUUAGAAGUUGAAAAAUGAAUCGACUAACAUGGACUAGAAAUUAUCAGGUGAAAGAUUUACCAAGUCAAAAUUACCACUUUCCGCAGGUAAGGGAUGGGGUUGAUUCCUCGCUCUCUCAUCAUCCAAUACCCAAUUUCGUUGGUCUUGUUGUACAUGGCCAUGAAACUAUCCCUUAUUAUUGGAGGAAGCCUAUCGAUGUCUGUGAUGUCCCACUUUGAUACGUUAUCACAAUUUCAGCAAUUUUAUGAAAUUUACCACCAUUCAAUACACUUCUUAGUAACAAUAACGAAGAUUAAUGUCAACCAUUACUUUAUUAGCCCAAACCACGAACAUAAACCAUGAUAUGUCUAAAAUGCAUUGAAUAAUUUAUUUCAUAAUAUAUAAUUUUUAGUAUUUUUUCCAUCGCAUUCAUAGACUAAUUAAUUAUGUUAUUUUCUUGGUAGUCAUAGUUACAAGGGAAAAUUAUGAUAGUGGUGAUACUAGACAAACCUGACAAUGAAAUCUAUUAUGAGAUCAAGUUCUUCUGGCGUCCCAUAUAUAUCAUAAACAUCAUCAAUAAGUACCGCCAUACUAGCAAGCUUCCCAUUCAUUUCUUUGAAAGCUGUAUGUUGAGGUUCAAAAACCGUACUCUUACUCCAAAAAUAGCUUUCCACUAUCCUGUCCCUACAUAAGGUCAUCUUGUUCACCCCAAGUUCAACCCACCACUUGAAAAAUUUUCAUAUGAUGAUUAAGUCAAUCAAAAUGCUCUCCCAUGCUGCCAGAUUGAUUGUGUACCUUGCCAGACUGCUAACUUCAUUCCUGUAGACUAACUGCACUAAAUUGUGUUAGAGAAAACUUCCUUAUUAUUUUGAAGUUGACAACACGUUUCCAUCAGUGUAAUCUGAAGACUUACAGACUCUAUUGUCAAAGUCUGAAGACCUCCAGAUUUAAGAUUUAAAGUCUACCCUCACUGAUAGUUUCCAGACCGACGAAGAGAAGAUUUUUUCAGAUGCGAGUUUAUCUUUAACGAUUUAGUUUGUACAGUUGAAGAAGAUCUUACGGCUGGAGAUAGCAUCUUGUGAUCAAUUAUUCUUGUUGAAAUCAAUUCGGAUAAUUAGAUCUAUUGAUUGGCGAAGUAUACUUGGAAGGUUCUACUUAUGGAAACCUAUAUCUUGAUUGUAUGGGCGAGCAGGAUUGGUGGGCUAUCAUCACAUUGCUUAAAUAACUCAAGAUCUCCUUGAUUGAUUCUGUCCAACGGGUAGAUUAGAAAAACUCAUUUGGAAAGUGCCAACGGUUGUGAAGGCAUGAAGGAGUAUAUAAGGAAGACGCUCAAGUUAUUCGUGAGUGUGCAUGGAAGAAAAAUUCCAAAGUCUGAAGCUCCUAGUUCUUUGCUAUUUCAAUCGUUGAACUUAAGUUGUACUCAAAAGAGAGAUCAAACACUUGUAAGACCUUGAGGAAGUGUAGUAGAGCUUCUACACUAUGGAAUCAAGGACGUGAGACUGUAAAUCUCUUUUGAUUCUUAGUGAAAUCCAACUAGUAGGCUGUUAGUGCGGGAGAGUGGACGUAGGCUUGGUCUAAGCCGAACCACUAUAAACCUUGUGUUUCAAUUUUCUUUCCUUGAACUUUUUACUUUAAUUCGUAACUUUAUAUAAUUGUUUAUAGUCUUCUACAUCUUCAGUCUAUUAUUCUCAAAAGUCGAGUUAAUCUUUUAAAGUCUUGCAAAACUUCUUUGAAUACCUAUUCACCCCCUCUAGGUGUCUUUUCUUGCCCUAUCAAUUGGUAUCAAAGCCUGUGUGCUCAUUCAAUUGAAGUGUUUGUACUUUUGAGUUAAAGAUCUAUGGCUAGUAUGUUGGCUCUAGGUUUGGUUGAAGGCCAGAGCAACAUCAGAUCUCCUUACUUUGAUAGAAAGGAAUACAACAUAUGGAAAAACAAGAUGAAAGCAUUCCUAAGAUCGAAAGAUCCUCUAGAAUUGGAUGUCGUAGAAAAAUGAAUCAUUCCUAAAGUUGCAUCAGUUUCAGAAAGAGGAAAAGAAGUUGCAGACGCUAGCAAGAUGACACAAAAAGGAAUAGCCAAGAGACAAGCUCUUGAUACAAAAGCAAUUUACUCUUUAUAUUGUGUUUUAUCUCCUACUGAAUAUAAUAGAAUUUCUUCUUGUGAAAUAGCCAAAGAAGUCUGGGAUAGGCUGCAUAUUACCUAUGAAGGAAUUGAUCGAGUAAAAGAAACAAAUAUCAAUAUUCUACUCGGACAGUAUGAAGCCUUCAAGAUGAAGCAAGGAGAAUCUAUCAUUAACAUAUUUAGUCGUUUUACAAAGAUUGUAAACGGUCUAGCAUAUCAGGGACAAUCAAUUUUAGGACCAAUGAAGGUUAACAAAUUGUUACGUGGACUCUCCAAAGACUAAAAUCAUGUAAAGACUUCAAUAAGGGAAACUCAAAAUAUCAUGCCGCUUUUUGUAGACGAGCUGGUUGGCACACUUCAGUCUUAUGAAGUGGAGCAAAUCAAUGAGGAAGAAGAUCCCAAAGGUAAGAAGUCAAUUGCUUUAAAAUCUAAUGAUGAUUCUGAUGAUAUAGACUCUAAAGAUGAUAUGGAUGAUGAAGAGCUAACACUUAUGAUAAAGAGGUUUAAGAAACUGAACAAAAAUGGAAGAAGAUUCAAUUGGAAGAAGCAAAUUAUUCAAAAGUUUCAAAACAAAUCAACUAAGGAUGAUGAAGCCAACAAAGAUGUGAUUUGUUUUGAAUGUAAGAAAAAUGGACACAUCAGACCCAAUUGUCCUCUGUUGAAAAAAAAAAGAAAAGAAGGGAAGAGUUAAAGAAAUACAAAAAAUGCACUUAAAGUUGAGAUAUAGAGUGAUACUGAAUGCGAAGAAAGUGAUGAAGAUUAUACCAAUAUUUGUCUAAUGGCAAAAUCAUAAUUAGACUCAAACUCUGAGAUAGAUUCAGACUCAGAAUUAAACUCAGAUAGCAAAAUCGAAGUAAGCAAUUUAAAAAUUCCUACUAAAGUUUCGAAAUAGAUUGAUGAACUAUGUGUUAGUCUCAAAAUCUUUUUUAAAAGGAUUUCCAAGCUAAAAAGGGAAAAUUCUACACUUAAGCAACAUGAAAGUUCUUGGAAAGAAAAUUUUGAAAAUUUAGAUAAAAGUUUUGUUGUUUUAAAAGAAAACGUAGACUCUCUUUCAAAAGAAAAUACAUUUUUAAAGAUGGACAUUUCAAAUAUCUCAAAAAGGUUUUUAAUAGGAUUUGAAAAGUUGGAAAAGAUUCUUUCAGUACAAAGACCUUAUUUCAACAAAUCAGGCUUGGGAAUGACUUCAGAAACUAUUUCUCUAAUUGAUUUUCCAAAAGGAAAGGAAAGAAUCAAAUAAAGACCUAUAAAAACUUUUUAUAGAAACCAUUUUCAAAAAAAUUUUGUAAAACCCGUUGGCUGAAGUGCUCUCAAAUAUUCUAAAUGCAACAGCUCUGAACAUUUUGAAAAAGAAUGUCCUAUGGUUUGGAGACAUGUUAAGAAAGAAUGGGCAAAGACUAUAUAUUGCGCUAACUCUCUUAGACCCAAGAAAAUGUGGGUACCAAAGAAAGCUUGAAUUCAUUUUUUAAUUGCAGGUCACUAUCAAGAAAAAAUGUUAAAUGGCAUUUGGAUAGUGGCUGUUCGUGACACAUGAUUGGAGAUUCAAGCUAUUUUAUAAAACUUGUGCAAAUAAAUGGUGGAAAAGUCUCUUUUGGUGGAAACGACAAAUGAAGAAUUGUUGGAUGUGGAACUGUAAAGAUUGAAAAUCUCACAAUCAACAAUGUCUCCUCGGUGGAAGGACUAAAUUACAAUCUACUUAGCAUUAGCCAAUUGUGUGACACUGGAUUCAAGAUCAAUUUCCAAGAAUGAAUAUGUUCGGGAACUAGUAAAGAUCUUUCUCAAUCUUUUACUGGAAGAAGACAUGGGAACAUUUAUUUUCUGUAUAUAAACCGGAAAGAUCUCAAUAUCUAAUAUCAAUUCAAGAUUAAGCGAGUCUAUGGCAUCGAAAGCUUGGCCAUGUCAACAUGAAGCAAAUUGCCAAGAUAUCAUCCAAAAAACUUGUUCGUGGACUACCCAACCUAAAAUAUAAAAAAUCUGACUUAUGCACACCAUGUGUGUUGGGAAAGUGGGUUAGAUGUUCUUUUAAACCAAUAUCUCAGGUUUCUACUAAUUGUAUUUUGCAACUUCUGUAUAAGGAUCUCUUUGAACCAGCAAGAACUCAAAGCAUUGGUGGAAAAAUAUAUUGCCUAGUAAUUGUGGAUGAUUAUUCUCGAUUUACUUGGGUUUACUUUCUGGCAAGUAAGUCUGAAACAUUUUUUCAUUUUUCAAAGUUUGCCAAGAUAGUUCUGAAUGAGAAAGGAUAUGCUAUUUCAAGCAUACGGACAGAUCGUGGAUGUGAGUUUGAAAAUUAAGACUUUUCCAAAUUCUGUGAUGAAUCUAGUUUUCAGCAAGUUUUCUCUUCUCCAUGCACUCCAGAACAGAAUGGAGUUGUGGAAAGAAAUAAUAAAUCUUUGCAAGAAAUGGCAAUAACUCUUUAAUUGAAAGUAAUAUUUAUUCUUGUUUUUGGGCUGAAGUAGUUUUUACAGCUUGUUAUAUUAUUAACAGAGUAUUCUUAAGGUCUAUUAUGGAGAAAACUCCCUAUGAGUUCUUCAAAUGAAAUAAGCCAAUUGUUUCUUAUUUUCAUGUGUUUAAUUGCAAAUGUUUUAUCUUGAAAAAUGCAAAUGAUCGAACUGGUAAGUUUAAAGAGAAAUUAGACGAAAGAAUUUUCCUUGGCUACUCAAAUUCAAGCAAAGACUACAGAGUAUUCAACAAGAAAACUCGGUUUGUGGAAGAAUCUAUGAAUGUCAAAUUCCAAGACUUCUUGCAAAAUCAAUUGAUUCAGACUCAAUCUAAAGAAUCUGAACCUGCUUCAGACUUUACAAAGCCUACCUCCCUUGAAGUGGCUCAGACUUCUGAAGAACAACAACAAAAAGAAGUUGAAGAAUCAAUUGAAGUAGAAGAUCAUCAAACUAUUAGACCGACUAAUAACUAGAAGCACAAGUCUAGUCAUCCCAAAGAACUUAUCAUCGGUGACAUUGAUGAAGGGAUUCACACCAGAUCCAAGAAACAAGAAAAGUCUAGCGUUGUGGCACUUAUUUCCAAAAUAGAAACCAAAAGAAUAGAAGAAGCUUUGGUUGACGAAAGCUGGAUUGAAGUUAUGUAAGAAGAACUCAGAUAGUUCAGCAUUAACGAUGUCUGGGAACUAACUCCUAAACUAAAAGGUAAAUCAAUUAUUGGAGCUAAAUGGGUUUUCAGGAACAAGAUGGACGAAAAAGGAAAGGUGGUUAGAAACAAAGCAAGACUCAUGGCCAAUGGAUAUAUGCAAGAAGAAGGGAUAGACUAUGAUGAGACCUACACACCGGUAGUAAGGUUAGAAGCAAUUAGAUUAUUGCUUGUUUUUGUAUGUUAUAAAAAUUUCAGGUUGUUCCAAAUAGACGUCAAAAGUGCAUUCCUAAAUGGACUUAUCCAAAAAGAAGUCUAUGUGGAACAACCUCCCGGAUUUGAAGACCCAAGUAGACUAGACUUAGUAUUCAGACUGAAAAAUGCUCUAUAUAGAUUAAAGCAAGCACCUCAAACAUGGUACGACAGGUUAAGUAAGUUUUUACUUCAAAAUAGUUUUGUUAAAGGAAAAGUGGAUACUACCUUGUUUAUUAAAAGAGAAGGUAAAAACAUUUUACUUAUUCAAAUCUAUGUUGAUUAUAUCAUAUUUGGAUCACCUAAUGAAAACCUGUGCAAGAAGUUUUCUAAAUCUAUGUAGGAUGAAUUUGAGAUGAGCAUGAUUGGUGAACUAUCUUUCUUUCUCGAAUUACAAGUGAAACAAUUGAAGGAAUGAAUUUUCAUUCAAAAAAAAUGUGCAAAAGAUCUCGUUAAAAAAUUCUGAUUGGAGAAUUGUGAGAAAACUGAGAUACCAAUGUCAAGUUCUUCGAAGCUGGACAAAGAUGAAGGAGGAAAGAAAGUUAACCGGAAGCUUUACAAGAGUAUUAUUGGUUCACUUCUUUAUCUUACUGCUUCUAAACCUGACAUUUUGUUUAAUGUUUACUUUUAUGCUAGAUUUCAAUCAAAUCCCAAAGAAUCUCAUCUAAGUACUGCAAAACAUAUCAUCAAAUACAUUGCAACUACUUCAAAGUUAGGCUUGUGGUAUCCCAAAGAAGGAGAUUUUACUUUUCUUGGAUAUUUAGACGCAGAUUUAGCAAGUUGCAGAGUUGAUAGAAAGAGUACUUCUGGUACUUGUCAAUUGCUGAGAAAUAGGACAAUAUCUUGGUUCUCAAUGAAGCAAAGUACUAUAGCUCUUUCAACAAUAGAAGCAGAGUAUGUGGCUCUUGGAAGUUGCUGUUCUGAAAUCUUAUGGAUAAAACAACAACUGAGAGACUUUGGAAUCGAAGACUCAUGCAUUGAGAUCAAAUGUGACAACACCAGCGCAAUUAAUCUCACAAAGAAUCCAAUUCUUCAUUCAAGGGAAAAGCACAUAGAGAUUCGACAUCAUUUUAUUAGAGAUCAUGUUCAAAAUGAAGAAGUUAUGAUUCAGUUCAUUGAUUCAAAGAAUCAACUGACAGACAUAUUUACAAAGCCACUAGAGAAAAACCUAUUUGAGUCUACUCGCUCCAGACUGAACAUCACAUCUUUUAUCCAGUAAAAUCUAAAGGUUAUCAAACUCAAAGGUAAAGUCUGAAAGUGUUCAGACUUAGAAGACCAAAAGUUACGAUUGUAAGUUAUUUUGAUACUAACUAUUUUAAUUUCUGGUUAAAGACUUGAAAAUGUGCAGUUACUUUUUAAUUGCUAAUUGAUUGAAAUUAUCUUUCCGAGUACUUGAACUUAUAGCAUUUAUUCAUUUUCAAAAAGGCAGUUAAUCAUUUUCGAAAAGGCAUUUCUAUGGCGAUUUGUUUACCUUGCUUCACUUGCUUUAUAUGCUAUUGAAUUUCGUCUUCUCUAUUUUCACUCUCAAACCCUAAAAUACUAAACUCCCAUUUGCUUUCCCUUUCACUCUCGAUUAACCCAAAAAGUCUUCACCUUUUUGAGCAAGUUUAAGAAUUUCCCCCUUGAAGUGAUAAUGUCUUCAAGAAAGUUUUCGAGAAUCGCAAGCAGGGGACCAUGACACAUGCCUAAGGGUCCUACUCACUUCGACUUGACCGAGGAAGAAGAUUCUUCUCAUCAGCAACAACCAAGUGAGCAACAACAUUCUCAACAGCAUCAAUCUUCUCCACCACCUCAACUAGAAGAAGAAAUAAUUGAAGAAAUUGAACCUGUAAGAAUGUUGAGCUAAUGUUGCUUUCUCACUUUAUUCUAAGUUGAAAGAAGGAGGUACUGCGGUGUCCUUGAUUGACGAGUUUCUUAGAGAAAGAGGAUUAAAAAAUGAAACCUUAUUUUUGCGAGAGAUGGAAAAGUUAAGAGUUACAGAAAAAUGAACGGUUGAAAAGACUUUUGCAAAUUUUCCAAGUGACCCGCGAUUUGAUACUGCUAAUCAACCACAAGGACAGGAUGAAGAUGAAUGAAUGUUUGCACAUUUUCAAUCAAGGAUGUGAGUGGCUAUUAAUGUUGUUGGUGAUGGAGCGAGCAUUUUCCGCUCUAAGGAGCACAAGAAAGUUUACUUGAAUUUGCUAAAAAGAGAAGUGAUGAACCCUAGGAGUGUUGACUUUGAUUUUCUCGAUUCAGUAAAAGUAAAUCUGUGAGAAAAGUUUGCACUUCUUCAAUUGGAGCGUUUUUGUUUUGAAUCUACAAUUGCUUAUUCGGAACUCACAGCAUACUUCUAUUCAAAUUUAUCCUUUUUGGAUACAAAUAGUUUCUCUUUCACAGUAAGGGAUAAGGAAUUUUUGGUGGAUAUGGACACUUAGGCUGACCUAAUUGGGGGUGGAAAGAGGGUGUUUCCAACCAAUUAGUGUGUCUUUUGCUCAUGCUACUUUGGAAUUGGUACAAGACGAGGAUAUUGAUCGCAAGAUCUCCUACUCUAAGAUGAAUGCCUUAAAUAUCUUGCUGCACAAAAUUGUGAUUAAUUGCAUCCAUCCAAAAUCUACAUCAAAGACUGAUGUUUCUCGUUCUGAAGCAAAGCUGAUGUAUGCCAUCAAUGCUGGCUACAAAUUCUCUCUACCUCACACCCUCCCGUUUCAUAUAUAUAGGAUAGUGGUGAAAGACAAGAGACAACUCCCUUAUUCUGCUUUUAUCACGCGCCUCUUUAGACAUUUUAAAAUCCACAUUCCUGUACCUUUAUGUAUGGCAAACAUUACUCCAAUGGUGACUGGAUUUAAAAUGGUCACCAAGAUGCAUCUAAAAGAGCUUAAAAGGGUGUUGGAGUGCAUGAAGAAAAAGUCUCCCGUCAAAACGAAACAAGACUCUAUAGCAGUCAAAAGGAAAGGCAAGGAGCCUAUGGAUGCUCCAGUGAAGAGAAAGAGAACUCUCUUCUUGUAGUAUGAAGAGGAUGAGGAUGAGAUGACUCUUUCAGCCUUAAGAGAUUUGAAGAGUUUUGUCAGUUUUCAAGGGCCAAGAGAAUAGCCAAAAGCAAGAGAGGAGACAUAGAAGGAAGAUGAAGAACAGAGAAGGACCGAAUAAGAAGAAGAAAUAAGAGAAGAGGAAGAAGAGACUCAAGAUAAUUCUUUUGAGCCAACUUUGGCUAUAUCCUUAUCGAGUUACUCUGAGAGGAUAGGAAAUGGAACUGCCGAAGAGCAUGACAAAGAAAAACAUCAAUCUGAAGCUGAAGUUGAACAAGAAGAAGAAUUCACUACUCCACCAGAAGGCAAAUAAAUAAGGAGAGCUGUCGAAAAAUGAGGUAUCUCUCCACCUAUAUUUACUAGUGAUGUGAGUCGUUCUGCAGCAAACCCAAAAGAUGUGUAUGCCUCUCACUAUCCAAAAGUAUCCACUCCUAGUCAUGGUGGACAAAUUGCUAAAGAUCCAUCCAUUCUCAAAAGUCCUGGAUUAGACUCGGUUGGACAUAAUGCUGCACCAGAACAAACAGCAGACUUUUCAAGACUGCUUGAUAUCAUGUUAGAUUUAAGGAGACAACAAUAUGGUUUGGAGUAUGAUAUGAAGGAUCUCAAGAAAGCUUUCAUGGCCACUUCAGUGUCAUUGCAAGAAUGGCUACUCGCCCUAAAGACUCAAGUUCAGACUAAUGUGAAGGAUGAAGAUUUACAACCGCUGAAGGAGACUAUAUCAAAUCUUGAGAAGACAGUGAAUUUUAUGGGAGAAUUCCAGCUUGCUCGCUUGCCCAAACAUCCUUGACUCUCACUCUACUAUUUUCAAACAACUCUUGUUAUUUGUUUUCCACUUUUUGCUGUUGACAAAAAAGGGAGAAGUUUGACGCAGAUUUGACUUUGGUUUGGAUUAUUUUACCUUUGAAAUUAUCUUUUGUUUGGUUGUGGAUUGGACAGACUUUUUGACUUUGGACUGGUUGAUUUGACCUUUUGAUGCUUACAAUAACUUAAGUCGCGAUAAUGAUUAUGGAAUGAUAGUUAUUUUACAGGACUAGCAUGUUUUCUAUGGUUGCAAAAUCUUUACUAUGCAUGUCCUAAUCUACUUAUCUUUUAUGAGAUAUCUUGUUUUGCUUAAGUAUUGUUUUGCAUGACAAAAGUGUUCAAAUCUACGGGAAAAUUUUGUCACCAUAAAAAAUGGAGAGAUUGUUGGAGAAAACUUUCUUAUUAUUUUGAAGUUGACAAAACGUUUCAAUUAGUAUAAGUCUGAAGACUUGCAGACUCUAUUGUCAAAGUUUGAAGACCUCUAGACUCAAAAUUUAAAAAUCUACUAUCACUGAUAGUUUCCAGAUCGACGAAGAGAAGAUUUAUUCAGAUGUGAGUUUAUCUUUAAGGAUUUGGUUCGUACGGUUGAAGAAUAUCUUACGGCUGGAGAUAUCAUCUUGUGAUCAAUUAUUCUUGUUGAAAUCAAUUUGGAUAAUUAGAUCUGUUGAUUGGCAAAGUAUACUUGGAAAGUUCUACUUAUGGAAACCUAGAUCCUGAUUGUAUGGGCGAGUAGGAUUGGUGGGCUAUCAUCACAUUUCUUAAAUAACUCGAGAUCUCUUUGAUUGAUUCUAUCCAACGGGUAGAGUGGAAUAACUUCUUUGAAAAAUGCCAACGGUUAUGAAGGCAUGAAGGAGUAUAUAAGGAAGACGCUUAAGUUAUUCGUGAGUGUGCGUGAAGGAAAAAUUCCAAAGUCUGAAACUCCUAGUUCUUUGCUAUUUCAAUUGCUGAACUUAAGUUGUACUCAAAAGAGAGAUCAAACACUUGUGAGACCUUGAAGAAGUGUAGUAGAGCUUCUACACUGUGGAAUCUAAGACGUGAGACUGUAAACUUUCUUUUGAUUCUUAUUGAGAUCUAGUCAAUAAACUGUCAGUGCGGGAGAGUUGACGUAGGCUUGGUCUAAGCCAAACCACUAUAAACCUUGUGUUUCAAUUUUCUUUCCUUGAACUCUUUGCUUUAAUUCAUAACUUUAUAUAACUGUUUAUAGUCUUCUACAUCUUCAGUCUAUUAUUCUCAAAAGUCAAGUUAAUCUAUUAAAGUCUUGCAAAACUUUUUAGAACAUCUAUUCACCCCCCUCUAGGUGUCCUUUCUAGCCUUAUCAAAUUGAAGUCUAAUUUAGCCAAUUGUAGCAAAGAGGGGAUCAUGUCUUGCUGUUUCUUGUACAUGUCAAUGAACCACUGAGCCUCCAACUUGUUUAGCCUCCAGUGGAUUGGCAUAUCUAAUGCAUGACUCACAUGACUCGCUAAAUUAGUGGGAAUUUCAUUGAGGUUUAGAUCCCUCAAAUGCUUAGAAGCAAAGGUCCAAGCUUCAUCGAGUAUGGUUUCACCUUCCAAUCCAUGAAAAGAAGCUUCAUAAAGACCAAGAAGCCCCUUCACAUCUUCAUUGAGUGAUUCAUUGAAUGUGCCCAUCUUGCUCAUAAAUCUUUGAAAUACAUCUAUAUGUCCAACAAAAGGAAUGGAAUGGUAAAUUUUGAUGCAUUGACAUAAUUUACAAAAAUUUUAUAGUACACAAAGUCUAUUGUUGGGCUUCAGCAGAGAAGCACAUGCUAUUCCGUGCUUUGUGUGGUGGCUGAUUAUGUAUCACAAACAAUAAAUAUAUUCGUGAUGAUCGAAUUUUAUUCUAUGUUGAAUAUUUAGCUUUUUGUAUUGGAGAAAAAUUGAAAAGAAAAUGAUUAUAUAGAAGAAAAUGAAAAAUCGUUUGACUUCGACCAACGCUGGUUCAAUGGAAUUUGAAACGGUGGCUGCGCAGAAAGUUUUUAUUUCUACCAUCGAGUUUCAUUGAAACGGCGUCCCAAAGAUUCUCCAACGUCCAGAACAGUGCGAGGCUAUUUUGGAAGGUUGAAAUGUCGAUGAAUUAGAUUGGACCGAGUAUUUUCUUCUUCUCUAACGAUUAUACUAUCUUUCCAUAUCGUUCUUUGCGUUUGAAUUCAGAAAAAUGAACACUUUGGAGUGCAUCAUUGUACGGAUAAAAAAAGAAGUACGUUAUUGCAUUCUUAUGGAAGACAUCAUAUCUUGUAGAAAGUUUCCUGAAAAGUGUCUUAACUCAUUACAUCUUUUGUCUUUAAUUUUGUUUUUGGUUUAAUUGUCCAAAAAAUCCUAAAUUUAUUGUACGGUGGUCAAUUCAAUCAUAAGUUUUUCAAUUGUAUCAAUUCAGUUAUAAAUAUUUCAAUUGUGUCAGCUUAGUCAAACAUUUUGAAGAUUUAUCAAUUUAAUUCUAAAACUAUUAUUUGGAUAUUUAAUCAAAAUGUCUACAUUUUCAAACUGUCAAAAGGUUUAGGACAUGAAUAUUAUGAUGGGAAUAGGACAUGGAUAUUAUGAUGUGAAUGUUAUAUAUCUAAUCUCUAUAGCUUAGUUGAAAUAUUGUCAAAAGGUUUUAAAAAAAUCCAAAUAAAGGCCCUAAAUGUCAUUGAUUUUUCAAAUAAAGGUUUGAAGUGAACCUUACCUUAAAUAAAGACAUAAAGUGUCCUCAUUUUAUUAAAUAAGGGCCUAAAAUGGACAUUAUUUCAAAUAAUGACUUAAAGUGGCCAUGGCAAUAUCAAAGAAUGACUUUAAACUUUUCGGCCGAUCAAGGGCAUUUCUGUCCUUUGCUUUUUCUUUUUCUUUUCCUUUUCUCUUUAUGUUCAUAAAAAGACAAACUAAAAAAAGGGCUAAAACUUAAAAAAAAAAAUUAGUUAACAUUACCAAAUAGAUUUCUGUUAUAUUUAAAAAAAAUAGAAAACAAAAAUAUUGGAACGUUAAUAAAUAGGUCCUUAGUUACGUUAUUCGCACAAUUCAAUAUCUUUUAGAUCAUUGUAAACGGUUCACAAUAAACUAUAUUCCUAUCGAAUGGUCAUCACAUGAGUAUUUCAUUGAAAAAAUUGUCAAAUCGCAAUUAGAACUUUAUCAUCCGUGAAGGUUUUUUCUUAAUUUUGUUUUCUUUUUUAAAAUUCCAAAGCUUUGAUUUUUUGAUGAAAUUUAAUUUUACUGAGAAAUUGAUACAAACGAAUUAAUAUACUGUGUGAAAAAGCUCGAAUCGAAAAAACAUCACUUGAGAGAAUCAAAUGAUUGACUCCACGCACACAUGACGUGGCCAUGACAUAGGAUUGAAUUAUGAUGAUAGAGUAUUAGGACAUCUUGGUUCCGAACAAAGACCAAAUGGAGUAGAGAUUCAUAUUUUAGCGUUCCCAUUGAUUCUUCUUUAGGUAUUGUCAAAGUUACGGAGAUCUCGAACACAUAUAGCAUCUUCGAAUUAAAGUUGUAGAGGAUCAUAAGCAAUAUAGCAACCUAUGCAAGCUCAUACAAUCAGACAUAUUUAUUGAUGAUUUGAUUGUUGAGGGACGUCAACAAGACUUGGACUCCGCCCAUUGGCUAAUAAGGAAUUUUGACAUUAACAUUAGAGGAACUAUUUAAUAUGCAUCCAAUGCAUGAACACUUGUGAGUCCUCCUAUCGUAGAGUGCCAAUUUGCACCUCCAACUUUGAAACACACGAUCGACAUCUUGCUGGCAUUUUGCGUCGACUCUUGUCGCUAUCCAUGGCUCAUCUAAAAAAGUGAAAAAAAUAAAAAAUAAAAUGAGGAUUGUCACGACCUGACUGCUCGCAAGGGAGAGAUCAUUAAGUUUAGAGGUAUUGUCAACCCAUUAAUUCAAGCUCUUCCAAGCUUAUAUCUCACGCAACAUCAGACAUUCAAAUCUUUAAUCACUCUAAGCCUAUGCAAAUUUUAACUAAUGAGUCACUACUAGCACUUUUUGAGGUUGGUUAGAAAUCAAAUAAGAUAUAGAGGGAUAUUUUACUAUUUACGCAAUCAGAGAUUCUAAACUUCAAGACUUGAUUAUGUUAGUCUCAAUACUAACACCAUUUUGAUGCCUAACUUGAUCAUAUGCUAACUAACACCACAAAUAGCCUAUCCAAAAGAAAUCUAAGGUUCGUCCUAACCAUUCUAGGGUAAGAAAGUAACACCCGAAAUAUUGAAAUGCACAAUCAAUUAUAAAUCAUAAAGAAAAUCACAUAAGUAUCAUAAUAUCGUCCCUAAAAAUAAAAAGAUAAUCCAAAACAAAGAACUCUAUUGUAAAACCCUACGGCUACAUUUGACAAUCAUGAUCAAAUUCAGAAUAUAAUAAAAUUUAUUAUUUUGCGUUUAGUGCUUGCUCAAAAUAAGAUAAAGUCAGAUAUAAAUAGGAUAUAGAUUGGAUAAAAUUAUAGAGGAUGUGAGAUAAAGACGGAUAAGAUUUUUAGUAUUCAUAACAAAAAAAAAAAAAUCUCAGAUAACAAAUUUCUUAAAUUAACAAAUUUAAAUUAUAUUCCAAUAUAUAAUGCAUAAUAAAAAAAUGAAAAUUAUUUUUAAUUUAUUCUUAUUUUUAUUCAUAUAUUUGGAUUUAAGUCUAUCUUAUAAUAUAAAUUCAAUAUAUAAAUAUAUAUUUAUUACAUAUUUUAGGUGUUUUAGUAUUUUAGAUAUAUCAGUACAAUUUUCUAUCUAAUAAAAUUUUAUUGAGAUGAAUGAAGGGGAAGAAAGAAAUAUAAAAUAAAUUAAUUAAAAAGAGAGGAAAAUAAAAUAAAUAAAAUAAAAUAAAAAUAAAGUAGACAAUAGUAUCGCGAGAGAUUUUUACCACUUUUGUUUGUAAAAUUUGUGAUUCAUAUAAGCGUUUAUACCAAACAAUAUAUAUAUAUAUAUAUAUAUAUAAUGUAAAUAUAUCCGAUUUUAUUAUUACAAUUACUAAAUAGUGGAUAGAAUAUAGUAUAAUCCCAUAGAUUUCAUAUUAUAUCCUAUUUAAUCCUAUCAUGUUUAAAAAUCCGAACAACUAAACGUAGCUAAAGGCUUAUCCAAUUCUAGGUUUUCAGUUUUUAAAGGUUUCUAAUAUUUCUGAAUGUUUCUGAUUUUUUUAGAAUUUUUUAAAAUUGUUAAUUGUUUUCUAAAUUUUCUGAUUUUUUAAUGAUUUUAUGAAAUUCUAAAUUUUUAUUAACUUUCGAAUUUUUCAAAUUUUUUAUUAUUUCCUAAAAUUUUCAAAAUUUUUAUCAUUUUCAGAAUUUUUGAUUUUUUAAGUAUUUUUUCGAAUUUUAUAAUUUUACUUAUUGAUUUAUUUAUUAUAUUCGGGGAACGGGUUGGGACCAGAUUCCCGAUCUGGCCAUUUGACCCGGUCAAAUUAAAAUCAAAAUUUUAAAAACAUUUAUAUAUAUAUAUAUAUAUAUAUAUAUAUAUAUAUAAUUUUUUUUGAGUUUUUAUUGAUUUUCCUAUUUUUUUAUUUCUUUUUCUCUUUUUGUUCUUUUCCUUAUUUUGUUAUUUCCACUGCACUUCUUCUCCUUCCUCUUGAUCUCUUCUUUCCCGAAGCCUUCCUUCCCUGCAACUUCAACUUCUUCACUUUUUAUUUUUCAAAACCAUACAACCAGACACCAUACCAUCCUCUACGGACACCUCCGCACCCCACCGGUCGUCUGUUCUGCCCGGCAUUGACCACUGCUGGCCCCCCGCUCCAUCUACCGCAAAACAUAACAAAAACCAUCCUACCGAAUGCACACUUUUCACGGCAGCAUCCCAAAAAAUCAUCAAGAAACAAUACAAUAGAAUUAAGCGAGAUGGGCUUAACUAGUUUGUCCAUGAAACACUGACUUCGCUGGGGCGAGGCGAUUCUCGGACGAAAAGCUUCUCAUCCUUGAAGACAUGCAAGCGCGUCAGAUUUGUGCAAAGAUUCUCAUCAAAUCGCAUAGAAACUCAGACACAAUGCUAGUAUUAGAUAUGAUUUAAGGGGAAAAAAAACAGCAAGUAUGAAUCGAUCUUGAAUUUAGACGCGACUAAACAUUCGGCCCUCUUUUAGGCAUUUUAUCAAACAAGCGAUGUGCAGAUCUUUCAAUGGCUUUCCAUUUUGAUUUUUAAAAAACAUUCUCGGCCUCACACGUCACGUACAGACUCAAAACACCAUGUUUACAACGAAACAAGUUCGUUUUAUGAAGAUCUCUUCAAGAAAAUCGAUCGAACCGAGCACAUCUUUCUCGGCCAAAGCAGAGACAAAGUAGAGCGUUUCUUUGGCGAUUCGAACUCUCGCUUGACGACGAUGAAGAGCGUCUGGUUAGAGCUUUUCCUCCGCUUGCAGUAGAAAUCUCAGUAUUCGUCUGAUCUGUGAAGAACGACUUAGGGAUCGGCCUUUGACCGGAGCUCUGGAAAACCGACGGCUAACCCCGGCGAUGCGGUUUUCUGCUACUCCGAAACGGGGACGCACUCUCUCUUCCUCUAAGAUUUCUCCUUUCUCCUUGGCUGUAUCCAGCGAGCUCGAGCAGUCCCUUCCUAUUUACCAAAAACCAACCGAAGCUCUCCCUGGUUCCUCGCACUUUGUUCGCGUUCUCUUCCUUUCCUGUCCUUCUUCUUCUUUGGCUGGCCCUCCCCCGCAAAACAGACUGCUCUCUGAUGUAUCUCUCUGUGGAAAAACUGUCCCCAGCCCCGUCUGCAAUGGCCGCGCCCCUCUUUCUUCUUCCUUUCGCUCAGCCGAAGAACUCUCACGCCAAACUUCUACUACUGCUCCGUCACCCCUUGCUCGAGCAAAUAGAUGUGUAUUCCUUGUACUUCCUUAACCUUUGAGAUGGGUUGGACUAAUGGAAGGAGGGGCUUAGAAGGUUGAAAAGUUUGCUUAGUGGCCGGCCCACACGAUUUCUUUUCAUAUUUUUUUUCGUUUUCUUUUUUAAGUGUUUUAUAUAUUUUUUUCAAAAUAAGUGGAUAUUUAAAAUGUUGAUAAAAAUUCGGGUGUCAACAAGGAUAUGUUCGUCAUUCUAUUUUUCUUAUUGGGAGAUAUAUAUUUUAAAAUAACACACGCCAUGUAUAUUAAGAAAAGUAAUUACAAAGUUAAUCAAAUAUAUGUGUAUUCCUUGUACUUCCUUAAUCUUGCGUUAGCUUUUUAAAAAGAGUUAUAAAAAUUUUCCAUUAAAUUUGUAUUGCAUAAUGGUGUUUUAGCAAUAUAUUCCGAGUUGGUGUGUGUGGAUUCAAGUAUUUUGUUUUUUGUUUUUUUUGGGAAUGAAUAAUUGUGGAGUUAUUCUUUACCAAAACAAAAAAGAAUAAUUGUGGAGUUAUUUAUUCACCAAAAAAAAAAAAAGUAAUUGUGGAGUUACGGUAGAGGUGUCAAAAUGGGUCAUGGACCCAUUUUUGAACUCAUAUUUUAUUUAUAUGGAUUGUAUAUGAAUUAGACCCAUCAAAUGGGUGGGUCAAAUCGGGUUUGGGUCAGGUCAAAAAUGGGUCGACCCAUAUUUAACAUAUUUAAUCCAUUUUGAUCCAUAUUCAUGUAGUGUAAAUCAAGUGACCCAUAGCCGACUCGACCCAUACCCAAUCCAUACCCAACUCGACCCGUAUUGCUAAAACCUAUUAAUAUUCUAGGAAAACUCACACCUACUAUAUGCUAGUUGGAUUAAAACUUCAAAUUAAAUUAAAAAUAGUAAAUAUAAUAAAAAAUAUUUAAAAAAAAAACCUAUAAAUCGAAAUAUUUAUAAAAAAUUAGACCAUGCGCAUGCUUCUUUUGUUUGAAGUAAACAUAUUAUCGAGUAACUAAAAACUGUAACAUUAAAAAUCUUUAACUAAUCCAUACCAAAAAAAAAAAAAUCUUUAACUAAACUUAAGAAAGCUCAUUUUUAUGAUUUUUUUAAUAAAAUAAAAGGUAUUGCUAAAACACUUUUACGCAAUGCAAAUUUAAUGAAAAAAAUCAAAUUUUUAGUUAUUUUUUAUUUUUUAAAAAUAUAUUUUGUUAUUUUUAUUAUUUACAAAUAUAAUUUUUUUAUUAUUUUUUAAAAAAUAUAAUUUUUAAUUAUUAUUUUUUCUUUUUCACUUUUCUUUUUUCUUCUUCUUUGGUCGGCAACGACGAUGCCCGGCGACCGACCACGAGCGAGCUCAAGUCUUGCCAGAUCCGGUGAGAUCGAGCCUAGCCGAUGACUGGCGAGGCUUGAUCUUGCCAAUUUGGCAAGGUCGAGGCCUUGCCCGACGCCGGCAAGCUUGAGUCUUACUAGAUCGGGGACUCAAGCUUGUUGGCAUCGAGUGGGGCUUGAUCUCACCAAUUUGGCGAGGCUGAGGCCUCACCAAAUGUUAGCAACCUUGAGUCUUGCUAGAUUCGACGAGGCUCGAGUCUCUCUAGUCGUCGGCGACCAAGAGCUUACAUGCCGGUGAACUUGAGCCUCACCUGGCCUGUCACUAGCCAUUGUCGUGCUGGCCAUCAAGUAAGGAAGGAGGAAAAAGAAAGAAAAAAAAAUUAAAAUAUGAAAAAUAAUUAUAAUUACGAUUUUUUAUUUUAAAAAUAUUUUUAUAAAGUUAAAAAAGGGAAAAAUAGUGUGGGGCUUGGGUUGUAAAUUUAGAAAUGGAUUUUAAGGUUUCAAUUCACUUGAUAUUUUAAAUAGGUUGAAAAUUGGUCACAAGUUCUUACCCAUUUAAAUCAGACUCACUUUUUUGACCCAUUUUUAGUUGGGUUAUUAAAAGCCUAUAACCCAUAUACAAUCCAUAUAAAUAAAAUAUGAGUCCAAAAAUGACCCAUUUUUACGCCUCUACCUCGCUAGCACUUCGCCCUGACAUUCUCUUUGCAGGCCUCAACCAAAACCGACCCAAAAACGGGUUCUAAGUCCCUGACAGCACACUUACUGCUCAGCUCCAUGCCUCCUCCCUCACUGCCUUGCUGGCAUCCGCCGCCUUCAUCUCCCAAAAACGGCUCCGCCAACGACAACUUGGAUGGUGAAUCUCCUUCCCCUUCAACGACGAGAAGGCCACUGCCAUCAAGAUCCUCCUCUCCAUGGCCGCCACCCCCUCCAAGUUCUACCAGUGGCGGCGGUGGCGGUCUGCCAGUGGGAACUCUAAUUAGUUUAUACUUAAAAAUUUUAAUUAAGGUAAAAAUUGCCUUUUUUAAUACAUUAAAGGGGGUUCACUUAAUUCAUUUAGUAGGAAAAAGUAAUCAAUGAUAAUUAAAAUUUUAUCUACCAAUCAUGAUUCUAUGUUUGGAAAGAAAUUAUAGAUAUAUAGUGACAGUCAAAAAACUAUUUCUUUCAUGUUUAACACUUGAAGAUUAUUAACACUUCAAAUGAGCUCUUCAAAUUCUUAACACCGAUUUCUCAAUAUAUGCAUACAAAUCAAUGCAUUCAUAUAGAUAGAAUAAGACUCUAAAAGUGUAGUCAACGUAAUUCAAAAUUAUUUUGAACCUGAGACGUAAUACAAUCAAGCGUUUAUUCAUGCAACUCUCUCCAAUUUAUUUAUUUUCUUGUCAUUUACACAUAAAACAAUAUAUACAUAUUGUUGAUUGGCUAAAGGCAAGGAAUGCAUAAAAACGUUAACGUAUGGGCUCUUUGUAAAUGCGUGAGCGUGGCCUAGCGUCACCCUUCGCAUAUCACAGGUUUCAACAAAAUUAAUUGAAAUUUAACAUGGUAAUUGUGGUCGCAAUUUCCUCGAUAUUGUAAAUUUGAAAUAACCCAUAUUUUUCUUUCGCCUCACUAGUAAAAAGUUCUACGUCCAUGCGGUAAUCAUGGAUCCGGUUUUUAUUAAUUCUUUUGUCAUUACGACUAAUGUAUGGUUUUUUUUUUUUUUGGACAUAUGCUAGCAUGACCUGGGUCAUCCAUUUUUGUAUAAUGGGCAAGUGGACAUAAAUUUGCUGUGGAAAACCAUUCUGUUUUGCAUGUUUGGCAAUAUUUGAAGAAACAAAUCUAAUGAUGUCCAAGAAAGAGAAAUUCAUGAGGAAUUGACUCCCUAUUUCAUAUGGUGGAUAUUAGUCCAAAAUCAAAAAAUUGAUAUCACUUAAGUCAAACGUUGAAAAUUUACAUAUUAUAAAUAAAAAUAUUCACAUUUCAUAAAGUUUUGCUCUUAUAACAUAAAAUCGGAAAUUCUUUGUCUACUAUCAUAACCAUUAUAUUAAAAAAGAAAAACAAAUUCAUUGUUGCACUUUGUUACAAUAAAAGUUUGUCAAACGCCUUCAUGAAAUGCUGGAAAGUUUUGAAAAUAUUGAAAUAUCAAAUACUGAAGGGUACAAAUGGUUUUUUUUUCCCUUUCUUUCUUUAAAUUUUACGACAUUAUCUCUUUGACUUUUAUUUAUUAUGAAACAUUUGGAAAUUUUCAAAAAUAUUCAAUACCAAAUACUGAAUUGUACAAUUGAUGAGUUUUUAGAACUUAGAGAAGGAGUCUAAGUAGUAAGUCUUUACUAUAAAUAGAAAAUUUUUAUCCCAAACGACUAUCUUAUUAUUAUUGUUGCUAUUGUUAUUAUUAGUAGCAGUAGUAUUUUACAUUUUCUUCGCAUUAUUUCUUAAGUCGCAUCUGAAAUGAAAGGACAAUGUUGCACGAUCUUUGGACACGUGGACCCACCUAUACAUGCUUGCAAAGUCCAAGCCACACAUGCAAAAUUGCCGAGACAUUCUACAUUCUUUGUGGAAAUCGGAAAGUUUUCAAAGAUCCUAUUUAGCAUAUGUAUUAAGGAUAUAUAAAAUGAGAUGUUCAUCGAUUACGAGGGUCACUCAAGGUAAUGCCGCGUUUUUUAAAUUUGAAAAUAAAAAUUAACUUGUUAGUUAGAUUGACUACAAUAAUUAAUUAGAGAUAGUUUCAAUUUUUAAUUAGCCAAUGAGUGAUUUAUCAAACACUUUACGUCGAAAUGCAAACUCGUUAGCAGAAUUCUCAAUUUUUUCAAAUGAAAUAUGUAAAUUGAUUUAUAAUUAUAUGGUAUGUAUAUUUUUUGUAAUAGUUAAAAUAAAUGAUCAAUUUUAAUGUGUUGCACAAACUCAUUACAUAAGACUCAGGCGUUGAGAGUGCCGAAUAAUAAUCAUAAUCUUCGAGUUUAUUUGAAAAAGCAAAUCAUCGCUUCCAAGUCUUGGUAAUUUGUAUACAGAACGUAUUAUCGUUGAAGAAUUCCUGUUACAUAGCCAAAUGUGAAAUCGAACUUUUAAUUUUAGUUUGAAAAUUGACAAAAAGAAAAAUGGCAUGACUUUAUUUUCCAAUUUGAUAAAGAUAUUUAAAAACAAAAUUAGUCUUAAAGAUCGCCUACCAACUAUAACACUAAAAAAUAAAAAUAAAGGUAAUGACUAUGCUCUAACAAACAAAAGGGGAAAAGACCACAAAAAACCCCAAAUUUUACUUAAAGUGACAAAUUUACCCCUAACUUUUUUUUUUGACGUGAAAAUUCCCGAACUUUACCGACCAUGACACGUUUAUCUCAAACUUUCUUUCGCGACACAAAAAACCCUGAACUUCUAUUCGUGUGAUAUAUUUACUCUAAACUAUAGGGCAUUUUGCUCUUUUUACUUUUUAAUUUUUUUUUAUUAUUCUUCUUCUCUCUUCCCUCUGCCAGCCAUGGCGAAGCCGACAGAAGGAAACCAGCGUCCAGCGAGGGUCGCCCUCGCCUGGGCUGGCUAGGGCCGCCCUCGCCGGCGUCAGGCGAGGGCGGCCCUUGGCUGGGAUGGGCGAGGUGCCCUCGCCAGAUCUGGGAGGGAGGCUCUCCCCCGACCCAGCUGAGGGCCACCCUAGUUCGACAUUGGCGAGGGUCGCCCUAGCCAACCUAGGUGAGGGUGACCCUCUCUUGAUGCCAGCGAGGGCAGCCCUUGUUGGACGCCUGCUUCCCUCUGUCGGCUAGGAAGAGAGAAGAAGAAAAAAAAAACAUGAAAAGUAAGUUGAAAAUGCCCUUGGUGGGGUAAAUGAGUCACCGUUUUGGGGUUUUUCAUGUCACAAAAAAAGUUUUGGAUAAAUUUAUCAUUUUGGGCAAAACUUGAGAUUUUUUGUGGUCUUUUCCCUUAUUAAUGUAAUGAAUAAACAAAAACAUCGAACCAGAAGUUUCUUACAUUCUCAUUCUUUAUAAGUAUUCUUCUAGAUUUAGGAAUUAAGGAAUUAAAAAAAAAAACCACGAAAUUUAGUUAACUAUAUCAAUAUGGGAUCUAACUCAAAAUUUGUAAUAGCUAAUAUAAAAUUAAAAUUUUUAAAAUGCUCAAACAUUAUUUAAUUUAAUAGCUAAGAUAAGAAAGGACUGCAGACAAGUAAAGUACAUAGGAGGGCUUGUCCAUUACAUCCGAUCAGACAAUUUGGUUCCGUCAUAUCCAGACUUCUCACUCUCAAAUCGUAAGGAGUGAAAACUGAUGUUAAAGAGCCUUCGGUGAAGACUUGACGUUGUCCGACACGUGUCGGCCGGGUCCCACCACCCCCUUCUCUCUUCCUUCCUACUAUCUCUCUCCUUUAUGCGAGAAAAUAUUGGGUGGUCCGAGACCUCCACGUCAGCGUGAUCCCUGGCCACUCACGAGAUGUCAUGUGGAGGGGUGGGCCCCACUUGGUGUCUUCUGCCUUCUUCCCCUCUCUCUCCUCUUCCUAGCCGAUGCCCUCUCUCCUCCUAGCUUGCACGCUCUCUCUCCACAGAGAGCAUUUAUUGCGGAAACUUUUCUCUUUCCUUCAUUUGAGAAAGAAAACGGCCGUUCGGAUGCACGUCCCUCUCCAUUUCUUUCCUUUCGAAUUUUUGAAUCUAAAAUUCUCUCUCUGCGCUCGUUCCCUUGCCGUCGCCAAGCAUCAAGCGGCCGUUCCCUUGCCGUUGCCAAUGUACCACAUUACGGUCGCUACUACUUCGAUGCUCGCUCGCUUCUCUCUCCGAGCUCGUUGCUGCUCCGUCGUUCGUUCCGGCGUUCCCGGGAUCGCAGACGCAGCACGCAGAGGAGAAGCAGGCCUCUUCGAGCUGCCCUCAACGUCGCCGAGCGAGACCCCCACACACCAAAAGGCUCGGAGGCGAGGUUGUUGUAGAAGCUGGUGCCGUACGCGAAACGCGACACCGACGGCACUCCACCUCUGCCUCCGCCGGUUCACUCCGUCGCCCUCGACUCCGACGCUGACGCUGACGCCCCUCCACCGGUUGCCUCCGUCGGCAUCGGAGUCCGUCGCCCCCGACUCCGACGCCGACGCCGACGCCCCUCCGCCGGUUGCCUCUGUCGGCGUCGGAGUCUGUCGCCCCCGACUCUGACGCCGACGCCCCUUCGCCUCCCUCUCACGCCCUCCGCUCCGCUCUCUCCCUCUUUCCUCUGCGGAGCGCCCUUACUAGCCAACCCCGCGAGCAACCUCUCUUCGAGUCUCCAUCUCCUUCACGGCCAGGUAGACGUCGUCCAUCUCUCUCUCUCUCUUUCUAGUGUCACGGAUUCUUCUUUCUUAUUUCUGUUCCAUGUUGAUGAGCAAGUGUACUCUUGCUUGAUGAUGCAUCAUGGGUAGGUUCGUUUCAUGAGAUUGAGAUUAAGCUACACUGGUGCGGAGGUUGUUCGUAAUGGGAUGUGCGUCUCUUGUGCCGAAUAGAGUGUUGGGUCAUGCCUUGGAAGCUCAAAAGAUGAACUUUAGUUGUUUCCUUGUUCUGAUUAUGCUAUUAGUCUGUGAUAUCACAAGUUCAUUCGAUGUUGUGAUUGAAGUUUCGGUGUCAGGUUAUGUUAAUAUUGGGAAGGUUCAUGCUCUGUGUUAGUUUUUGUUCACACACUGGAUUCUCUCUGUGGUGGGUUUGCAGCUUCGGUUUGAUCAAUCGGCUGGGGCGUGCUCGAGGGGCUUUGCUCAACUCGAUUCUUGCUCUGCUGGCCAUCCUCUUAGAAAAAAGGCGGCUCGUAAUUAGUUGUUUCUUGGCUUUGUAAUGGACCAAGAGUCCCAAGUGGAUGAGGACUUCCCCCUCUUCCAGAAAUGCUCCAAACAACCUAAAGCGCCACCAUCAUCAUCGAUAACUACUUCCUCCUCCUCCAAUCUUGCAGCCGAGACAUCAAUAAAGCAAGUGGAGAAAGUGAAGGAGGAUACUAGCCUUACUAGCACUAAUGUCUGGGUAACAAGAUUUGAAGCUUUCAAUCACAGCAAGAGUGAAAUCACAUGGAGUUUUAGAUUUGAGGAUGACAUCUACUUCAACCGUUCCUGCGUUAAAUCUUUUUGACAUUGCAUUCGGAUUUGCAUUUUUGUGCCUAUGUACUUCGUCGUAAGUUUUUAUCUUCUGAUAUUCAAUGGUAGGAUAGAAGAAGGCUGAAAAUAAAGUCUUGGUGCUAAAGAAACAAUUGGAGGCUGCAACACAAAGGAACUCGACACUAGAAGAUUGAAUCAGUCAUCUUGAUGGAGCACUUAAGGAAUGUGUGAGGCAGCUCAGACAGGUGAGGGAACAGCAAGAGCAGAAGAUCCAAGAAACUGUGGUCAAGAAAACUCGUGAGUGGGAAUAAACAAAGGCCGAGCUUGAGACUAAGCUUUCCAAUGUCCAUGCCCAGCUUCAAGCAGCCAAGAGUGAAGCUUCUUUAGUUAUAUGUUCUGAUCUCGGCCCUAAGCUUGAUGCUGCUGAAAAAGAGAACGUGGCCCUCAAAGCCAAAGUCCUUUCUAUGUUGGAAGAGCUAGAACUUAGGAUUAUUAAGCGUGAUUUGAGCACCCAAGCAGCAGAAACAGUCAGCAAACGGCAUUUAGAGAGCAUAAGAAGGUAGCUAGGCUAGAAGCCGAAUGCUGCAGACUCAGAUCUUGAAAAAUAAAGCUUUCGGCUUGCACCUUGCGUGUUGGCGUUACUUGUACAUGCGCAAACAUUUAUUUUGGUCUUGUGCCAGAGGAUGAAGGCUUUUGAUUUAAUUCAAGUAGGUUGUUAGUAAUUACUUUCGAAUUUUUUUGCAGGAAUUAUGUACCGGUAUCGUUAUUUUACUGACCAUGGGAAUGAAAAGCUCCCAUCUCUUAGUGUUUAGUGAAGAUCUCUUCUUCAUAUAUCUUCUGCCACCUAUCAUAUUCAAUGCGGGGUAAGUUAAUUUCCAAUUGGAGCGGUGAAGAACUUUUCUCAGAUCAUCUUACAUAGUAGCAUUUAGGCAUCAUUCUUUUUACGUGGUAACUUUUAGGCAUCAUUUGUUGCUACAUGUUUGUAUUUUUCGAAUUUGUCUUCAAAUACAAGUAACUCCACUGAUUGAGAUUAGGUUGGAUUUUUCCAUAAUGGUAAAUAGUUCCUCGAACUGUAAACAGGCUUUGAAAGAAUUGUGACAUGGGCUUUAUAAACUGUGAGGGAUAGACUAUAUAGAUGGACAGAAGAGUGAUCAUCGAAGAUUUAAAUAAUUUGAUAGUCAGCAAAAUGUCCAUGUAUAUUAAUCUGUUAUACUUUACAAAAUAUAGAGUUGACAGACAAGUUGUAUAAUUUAAUUUACAGUCUCAUCUUCGAACUUUACAGGAAGGUUGCCUAUAUCUUCUAGGGUUGAAAGUGUUCUGACUAUUUUCUAUGGGAUUUAUCUCAUUUCUAUUUUCUAAUCUCUGUUGAGUGAAUAAAUAAUUUCUUAUAGGCUUCUGAUAUGGAGUUUUAAUAAGUUAUUUAAUGGUGCUAAUCAUCCUUUUCAGGUUUCAGGUGAAAAAGAAGCAAUUCUUUAGAAACUUUAUGACCAUCAUGCUAUUUGACGCUAUCGGUACCUUAGUUUCGUGCACUAUUAUUUCACUAGGUAAGUCAAAGGAUUUUACUUCCAUUUUUUGGCUCGCCAUGUCAAAGGAUAAUUGUGUAUAUUGCUUCUUAUAUUCUUCAAUGCCUUGAAGAUCUAUUCCACUGAUCUUUUUUCCCCUAAAGAAAAUUCAAGCAGCAUUUUGAAUUGUUUCCAGGGUUCAUUUCUAUAUGCCUUCUCAGUCUUUAAAUUGCAUUAGAAUUUAAUGGCUUAGAUAACUCCUCAUUUCACUUUAUGUGAUGCACUGUCAUUUUCCGGCAGAAAUUUUGUUGUUGUAGCUAGGAACUGAUAUUGCAAGGGUGAACAUAUAUGUAUGUUUGAAACCAUUUUUUGUGAUUAAGACAUUGUUUGAUGGAUAUUUUAGUAUACAAUGAAUUGAUUCCUCCCUUUUAUGUAAAUGACGUGGUAUUUAUUAGUGAAAUUCACUUGUAUGUGUAUGUAACCAUAGAAGAAGUCAAUUUGCCUACCCGGAGUACUAAAGACUCUUAAGAACACAUGGGUUUGUGUUUGUCGAAUUGUGUAUUUUACUUCCAUCUUCAUCAUUUGUUUAUUUAAGCAAAUUCAAAACCCUUCUCAAAUAAGGACACAAAAGGGAGAAAUUCUUACAUAGACAGAUAAAUUUUCUUUUGAGGUCAUAUGAGCUAUUCUUGCAUAUUUUUCUUCGGACCUAUGCUUGUUUAAGAACAAUCUUGCCAAUUGAUGUACCUUGUGAUGAUCUCAGAACCACAGAAGUUUUCAAAAGAUGGAUAUGAGCAACAUAUGCAAGUUAAUCAUCUUGCUCCAGCUUUGCUAUCAGUAUUGCUUUUGCCAUCACUCCUUCGAGGCUCUCCAAGCAGAAUUGUCAAUGUAAAUUCUGUGGUAAGUUUGUGCUUUCAAUGACGCAUUAAGUUGGUGCUGCAUUAUGUUAAUCGGGCUGUUCUUGCCUCCAUUUGAUAAUGGCAGAUUUCUGAAAGAAUGAUUUUCUUGUCUUUGGUUCUUGAAUGAUGGAAAUUUUGCUGAAGACUUGUGAUGUUCGAUGCUCCAUUUAAAUGUCAUUGGAUGGUUGACCUAAAUCCAUCUGGUUUGUAUGUUGGGAUGAAUGGCCAUAUGCUAACUGUUUACUCUAGUUAGGCUGCAAACCUAUCAAUGUGACAUUUUUACUGCUGUAUUGUCCCGAAACUCCCUUUCUGGCUUUAAACCAUUGCUCUUAUUCCUUUUCAUUUCCCUUAAUACAUUCCUGUUCGAUUUUUUGCUUAGCAAGUUGUAUAUUUUCAGUACUUCAUACUAAUAUAUUAUAGGUUAUGAAGUGAUACUUAUUAGAAUGUUGAUUACGACCUGUAAUUAUUACUAACGAGGCGAGGUGGCCUCAUUCAAGUUAUUUUCAACAGUGUCCUCCAUAAACGGCUGCCUGCUGAAUCUGGAAUGAGUGUAUUAUGUGUAUCCCCUGGAGUAGUCCAAACCAACGUUGUAAGUAUGCUAAAAUAGUUUUUAUUUUGAAUACAUAAAAGUGAGUAUGUCAGUAGACUUUGGAUGCAUAUAUGUGGUGUCGUGUCCGUGUGCAAUGAGUCAACGAUUGACCCAACGAGGUGGGUGGCAUGGCAUUGUUGUCGGUUGCUCAAUUCCUAAUGAAAUUUACUUCUGCUAAUUUUUUCCAUGUAAAUUUUCAUGAAACCACCGCCACUAGAUCAUCCAAGCCCUCUACUACCUUCAUCUUGCAUCUGCUGUGAUUUGCUUAUAUGGUUGUCGUUGGCUAUCCUAUGUAGUUUUUCUUUGCUGAAAUGAUUGACAUCAUGAUUUAAUAGUUGAUCUAUCUUCCACUUAUAAUAUAAAAUAAAAGGACACUGAUGGUGUAAUUUUUUAUGUACACCAGCUCUUUUGAGAACAAGAUACGAGGAGAUAUUAAGAAUUUAUACAGAUUGGUCAUUUAACAUGGUAAUAAACCUGUGUUUGAUUGGAGGAGUGCUUGUGUAAAAUUAUAAAAGCGGUGUUUCUCAUAUAAAUCCUUGUAGGAAGUAUUAACUUUCUCCUGUCAUAUGGAUGGAUAUCUUCUUGUGUCAUAAUGAGGUAUAUGUAUCAUCAUGACAAGCUACUGAUAAGAUAUAUCUUUUAUAUUUUCUCAAUGAAUUGAAUGCUGGCGAGGGAUCUUCCUAGAAUUGUUCAAGCCGGUUAUAAUUUAAUACCCUACUUCAUAUUUAAUCCUCAAGAAGGUUGGUCCUCUCACAUGCCAGAUUGCUUGCAAAAUUGGAAGUCAUAGGGUCAUUAUGUUUCUUAUUCAUUUAUUUCAGAAGGGGAGUAAACACUUGAAUGGAGUUAUGCAGGCAUUAUCCUCUUAUCUAGUUUACUAUGCUAGGCAUUUAUCUACCCAUUUGUGAUUUUUUUUUCUUUUUUAUAAUCAAUAAUCAAUUAAAAUCUCCUCUUUCCAAUCUAAAAUAAUACGGGGUUAAAUUUCAUGUCUCACUGCUCAUGCAGGUUCUAGGAGUUCACUUUUUGCUGCAACGGAUCCUUAGGUUCCAGAGUAUUGUGAGUUACUGAAAGCGGAUGACUGGCCUGUUUGUGCUUUCAUUUCCCAAGACUGACGUCCAACAAACCCUUCUGAAGAAGCACACAAUGUUGAAACCUCUUACCGGGUAUGGAAAAAGACAUUAGAUAUGAUUGACCUUCCUUCUGAUUCUGGGGAGAGGCUUAUAAAAGGGGAAGAUAUUAAAUGCCGAUACGAUGGUCAAUAGGGUGAUUAUCCUCUCUUUACAAGAAAGUGCUUGUUGACAUGAAAGCCUCUACACAAAAUGCUUGUGAAUGGCAUCUUCAAAUGUAUUCUGAUAGUAUUUCAUGAUUCAUGAAGGAAGGAAAAGGCUGACUAAAUAGAGCACUCUAGUGAAAAAUUCUCUCUGGACAGUAAUUGUUAGGAUGAAGUCUUCCUUUCAUACUUUGUAAGAUAGUUUAACAUCAGUGAGCCUUAUUUUGGAAAUGCAGGUGCUUGUUAUAGGUGUUGUCAUCACUGUUAAUUUGACUAUCACUAAGUUUCCCACUAUACAUUGUUUUGCCAAAGAUUGAUAAAAACAUCGGGCAAUUCUAGCAUGCCUUUUGGCCAUUUAACUGGAUUUGUCAUGGGUUGAGUCUAAAAAGAUUGAAAAGGAGAUGAAUUGGUAAUGAGGUUUAACAAAAAAAAAAAAAAAGUUGAAAAAGGGUUGUUGGGCAAGAAAUAGAGGAAAAAAAUGAGGUAUCGGGUUUGGACGUCAAAUUUUUUUUUGUUCAAUAACACAAUGGCGUUUUAAACUAGGUGCGUGCAAAGUUUGAUGGAUUAAUUUUGAGUACGGGAACACGUACGAAUUUAUUUCCGAAAGCUUUAACAAAAAAAAAAAGUUGGGAAAGUGGAUGGUAAAGGCACUAAGAUAUCCUCAUUUAUUGGAACAAAAACGUCUGAAGUGAGUGGCUGCUGAUUGGAUGACCAAUUCAUGGUCGUCCUAUCCAAAAGUUUUUAUCAUUUUAAGGAAUCUCAUGAGUGGGCAUGCGAAUAAAAGAUCAUUUAGGUUACGUAAUCAAAGAAGAGAAGAUUUAGCCAAGGACAGGAAAAUAGAAGCUGGAAGCGUUUUAAACAUAUGCAAGAACUGCUCUGACAGUAGAAGCAGAAUGUUCUAUCACAGGAGGAAGAUACAGUGAAUGGAAUCAGCAACUUCAAAAUUCAAAUUGAAUUUUUUGAAUGAUUCAAUCUAAAGACCUCACAGUUGAUGGAAUUAUGUUUAGUCAAAAUGUAUUUGAACCUAACUAAAAGCUAGAUAUCCAUAUAUCAUGGAAAAGAUUGAGUAGAUUGAACAUUUGCUGAAGCAUAUGUAUUGAAGAUUUUAACCAUAUGCAUAUACAACCAUCCGAAGAAAGUGAAGAUUAUCACCAUGCUUAACCUAUUGAUUAGAUGGAACUUUAGGAUAUGUAGAAGGCCAUAUGAAGAUUCAUGGAACGAAAUCUCAUGAACCUAUGAAUUGACUUUGAUUAAUACAAGGCCAUAUGAAGAUUCACACAAGGAUGGAAGAGUGGAAGACAAUGAUUGCUGGCUAAGGGACCUCUGACAUUUCAAUCAUAGAGAACUGAGUAUUGGAAUUCAGAGCAGGGGACAAGAAUGAGGAAUAACGAGAAUACCACCAAUAUGAAGAGCCUAUACCUUGGUUCUUGUACUUCCAUUUGUGCCCAACUUAGCAAGACCUUGAGUGUAUUUUGAACAAUUCUUGUAUCGCCUUCUCUCUAGUAAGCAUUGCGGAGUGGGCUUAGAAAUUUAUAUGAGAAGGAGAGGCUUAACUAAAUAGGAGCAUUGAUAGGAGAUCAUUGUUCAAAGACUGCUGGUGCUGUACAAGGGUUUAACACAGAAGCAACUGAUGUUGAAGUUAUGUGGAACAUAUGGUAUGAGUUGUAAUAUAUUGGGUGGAAGCAGUGGAUUUAGCUAUGAUUGAAGGCUGGGCUAGUAGUACAUGAAAAGAGAGGAGAAAGGUGGAAGGCUGAACCUCUCCUAUACUUUACCUCAAUUUUGUUACCUCUACUCCUUUAUUUCUCGUUAAUCACUUAAAGCACCUAUGGUUUUAGGAAUAUUUCUGCUAAAAUGAUACCAGAGUGCUAAAAAUUCAAUCCUAACCAAAUUUUGGUGAUCGAAGAUGCUAGAGGCUUGCCUAAAUCUUGAACAAUGCACUUGGAUCUUGGUUAAACAAGGAAUUUGUGACCCUCUUACCCCGGUCUUCCAGCAGAUAACCAAAUGCAAAUUUUGGCAAACAAAUGUAAGAGUUUCAAAAAGUGGCAUGAUGCAAUCGCCUCUUGGUUUACUAGGGAGUAUAGCUCUCCAGUUACCUAGGCCUUUGCAGCACGAAAAAAAAAGGUAAGAACAAAAGAUUACAUUAGCUAGAAGAUUCCCUUCGAAGGUCUACUCACCAGAAUCGGGCCAAAGUUCAUGCUUAGAACCAUCAACGGCUGUAAAUGAGAUAAAAGAUUCUCUAGGGUGCAACAGGGUGAAAGUGAGGGUGUCCUCUCAAGUAGACCAACCUACAGCACAAUACAAACAAAACACCAUUACAAGUGAUUAUUGACAAUCUGAAAGUCAGAAAAGAAACAAAAAGCAUAAAAAGCAGUUCUCUGAUGAUUUCUCCAUUUAAUUUUCUGAUUAAAUAAUUCACUGUAAGAAAUAUGCAAGCUAAACUUUAAGCAUGUGUUCUCAAUAGUUAGCAAGUAACAUAAUUAGCGACUCCCAUCUGACUCGACUUGAUCUGGACCCGAGUUGGCUCCAAUUUUAACCAUAUUAAAAAAACCAAUCAAUUAAAAAUAAAUUAAGGAUGCAUUUAUUUCUCGGAGUAUGGAUGAUUUGCAAAACAUUUUUCCAAAAAUAAUCGCUUAUAUCACUAGAAAUAAUUAAUCAACAAAAAAUAUUUUUAUUAUCAAAACAAUUUAUGUAUAAACAUUUUCGUGGACGAUAAUAACAUUUUUUAUUGAUUCAUUUUUAUAAGUAAUAUAAAUAGUCAUUUUCGGAAAAUGUUUCUCAAAUUAUUCAUUUUUGUGAAACAAAUAGAACCAAAAUAUGAAAAUCAAUUAGUAAAUAAGAAAUUACUGAAAAAGGGAUUAGUACGUUAGGAGUGUUAUAACUUUUGUACUAUGCUCACCUGAGUGUCACAACUUAUUUUAUUUUAUUUUUCAUUUAUUUGUGCCACAAAUUUAAAAAAGACGUUCAUUUGAGUGUCAUUAGAUAUUUACCUCAUGAGACAAGUUGACGUGGUGUUAAUUUGUAAUACAUCAUUUGACGUGAUACAUUGGAAAAUUGAAGUCAUCACUUGACAAGGCUUGAAAGUGCUUUUUUUCCUUGAAACCAAUUCAAACACUCAAUUUCAUAUUCAAGUACCAUCAAUCACAAUUACAGCAUCACUUCUUAAGGAACUAAGAAGCACUCGAAAGCCCAUCACUUCAUAUAUCCAACUAGUGCCAAAAGUCCUUUACACGGCAAUCAGAACGAAGGAAUGUCAACAACUCUCUCUUUUUUACCAGAAGCGCGGAAGCCACUGUGCUUAGGGCCCCUCCUCCUACCCUACACCUUUCCUUUAUUUCCUGGAGAAAGGGCUAAAGCCACUGUGGGGGCCGGCGGGCCUGUCGCCCUUCCCACCACAACAGCCCACCGCUCGGUGCUUAAUAUUAUUUCCAGCAAAUUCACACCAAGUUUUCUAUGAUUAAUAUUUUUAUUACUAAGUAUAAAUAUAAUUAAUCAAUAGAAUUUCUAUGAUUUGAUAAAAUUUUAGAAUGGAAUAGAAUUCUAAGUUCGAAUUCUUUUGAAAUUGAAAAUAUAAUAAAAUAUAAUAUGAUUUCUUCACUCAUAAGAAGAUAAUUAUAUUGGUGAGUGGUCCAUGAGAAUUCAAUAUCAAAUUUACACUCAUCUAAAAAGGUAAUUGAAAAUGAAUUGGAAUAAAAAUUUUAUGUAGUUACCAAACGCAUUUCUAUUCUUUUUAUAUUUUAGAAUCAAAAUUUUGUGUAGUUACCAAACGCGUUCUUUUGUUUAGAAAUUGUUCCCAGAAAUAGAAUAAAAAAGAAUCAUUUCUUAUCAGAAAUUGUUCUCGGGAACAAAAUGGUUACCAAACGCGCCCUAAGUGAGCAUAAGGGUAGUUGCUUAACUAGGUCUUUCUAUUGCCUUUUGUUCAUUGGUUUACCCUUUACGAGUUUAAAAAAUCAACAAUGACGUUGUCAUCGUGCAGAGGUCGUGUAAUAGGAACAAUUUCAUGAAAAUAAUUAAAUGUCUGUGGUUUAUAUUCAUGUGUGUAGUUCUUGAUCAGACAUCAGUUCUGCGUAUUUACUACUCUUUAAGUAACAGAACAGAGGGAACAAAAUUGUCUGAACCCAUGCAUGUCAAUUGUCAUUGGAUCGAAGAAAUUAUAUCUUAACUUUUUAGCCUUAAAAAGCUUUUUUUGCAUUGGAAGCAGCGUAAGUCAUUAACUUGAGUAUAGCAAGUCAAUCAGCAAAGUCAUAUUCACACCAUAGGUGUAAUUCCUCGACAAGACACUUCGUCCUAAGCCUCACUCUAGAGUGAUGAAGCCGUGGUUUUCGAUGGAUGGUUUGCUUACAUUGUGGGGUGAACACUCCUCGCCUCGUCCAUUUUGCAUACAUAUCCUAAAUUUUCUCCUUCUAACGCUGGAAAUUCUUUUGAGGGGCUAUAUUACAAACAAAAUGCCUGAUUCAGGAAGAAUAUUUUUUGCUGAAACUCAAAUGCUAUCGUUGGUUUCUGGUCUUUAGUUUGUUUUCUAAUAUGUACUAGCUAUGCAAGGCAUUGAAAAACCUAACGAACAAUUAUAAACCUGUAUUGCUUGUUUAUUUUGUAAGAGUUUUCCUAAUGUGGACUGCAUUAAUUGGUAUUAUAAUUUACUAUUUUUACAGCUACCGUAAAACAAGGUUGGUCUAAAGUGAGAUAUAAGAUUUCUUAAUUAGUCUAAUAUGGAACUGGCUAGUGUAGGCCGAGUUGAGCCUGGCCCGUAAUAAGGGGGUCUGGCUGGAAACUUUAUAAAUAGUACUCAAGUCUUUCCUCUAACCCUAAUUCUCACAUUAUCCUCACUUAAGGGGCAUUUACCUAAUGCUAAACGUGAGAGGGCCGCCUCAUUGAGCUAGUGAUACAGAUGGAAAUAGAGGAGAAUGAUUUGAUGUGUGAAUCCCCAUGAUGAGUGGGUAGUCCAUUUUCUGCUUUCGCUUUAUGUUCGAUUGAUUUCAAAACAUGUGCGUUAAUAUUUCCAUUCAAUUAAGCAUGUUCUUGUUCUAGUUAUGGAGAUCUUGGGGUUGCGCAAUUUAUAUUCAACAUGUGGUAUCAAAGCAAUUAUAACCCUAGAACUUGAACGCAUAAAGUUUUUGCCAUAAUUUGUGAUUUUCGAGAUUUUUUUAUCAAUAAAAAUUAAAUUAAAUUAUAUAUUCGGACUGGGCCCAACAAGACGAAAAGAAUCGUAGGCGGCACGUCGCCGGAGGAGGCCGCACGCCCCCCCAUGCGCGGCCAUGCGCCGCGCGUGAGCUCCACAUGCCUCGCACUCAGGUGGCGCGUGUGGGCGUGUGGAGCCUCUGUUCAGCGCGUGGGCAGCGGCGUUGGAUUCGUAUGAUCAUCCUCUACGUCGUGGUGUAUUUAUUUUACAUGUUUGAUAUUUUUAUGGAUAUGAAAUUACAUACAAAGCCCUAAAUACGUGUAUUUUUAGUGUAUCUUUACGUAUUUUUUUGUAUUUUCUAUGAUUUUGGAAAUACAAGUGUUGGGUUACAAAUAUGUUAUCAUUUAAACAUUAUAAUGGUGUAAUUCAUUAAUAAAAUCAAACUUUAUUAUAAAUUGAAAUUGACUUAAUGAGAUAUAAUCAGUAUGGGAUAAUAUUUAAGCUAUCUAUUGAGGUGAUGAGAAACAGUAAAGAUUAUGAAACUUUUAUUGAUCAAGUAUACUCCUUGACACGCUGGUAAUUUUUGAAUAAUGGACGUCUUAAGAACUCAUGACCAAAAUGAUUGUACUGAUUAACACAUCUGCUGAAUGUGGGUAAUGCAUGUCAGUUAAGUUAUUACAUAUUGUAUCUAAACUCAUUUGGUCACUGGUUAAUGUCUAUCAAGUUGAAUAUUUUUUAUGGUUAAGAAGUAUGACGGCAUUUACACAGAGCAAUUGUAUCUACUGUUAUAGUUUAGAUAUGUGGUUCUGUGUUUUGACUUAAUUUAUAGGCCACUGGUUGAUGCAAUGAUAAUUGGCUAAUAAAUCAGCUAUUGGCCUUAGAAUCAUGUUUUGCCUUAUGAAACUUGUGAGCAAUAAUUGAUCAGCUAUCAAGCUUGUUAAUCUUGAGUAUCCCGUAUUACUAUUGAUAUUAAUUUGUGAGGGAUCUUUUGGAUCGGCAUUCUUUUAAUGUUGUUCCAGUAAUCAGUAAUCGAGGUGUACAAGAGAUACUUGCUUCUAUGUUAUGAGAAUUUUCUUAUGUUGUUGUGAUCAGUGAUCUCAUUGGAAUCUGUCUUUCAGAUUCGCUAUAUACAUAUAUAUAUAUAUGUAUAUAUAUGUAUAUAUAUAAUAAUAAAGAUUUUAUUAAUGAACAAAGCAAUGUAAUUAACAUAAUAUGUGAUUUUGGUGAUAUGCUGCCCCUAUCACUAAAAUUAAAAUCAUAUGUAUAUGGUAUAUGUGAUGAGUAAAGUUUAUAUCCCUAGUAUGAGAAAGUUUCAAUGAUUAAAUUGAGUAGUGACCACCAAAGUGGCACGCUUAAUUGGGUUUGACAAAUUUCAGUCUCGUAUGAUGAUUGAGAUGUCUCCUGGUCUAAUGCGUAGUCAUACUCCCAAAAGAGGUAAUUGUGUAUUAGUUCAUGGAGGGAUACAUAAUAAUGUGGCGGAGGAGUGACUGAUUCUAGUGAUUCAUAUGCCCAAAAGUGAUGAAUUCACGAAGAAUUGGUAUACUCAUAACCGCUAUCAUGUGGGGAGUGUACAACUGCAUGUCAUGUAUUCUGCCCAAAUAUGAUUAUAUGAGUAUGCGUGUAACUCUCUGGAUGUGUACUUGUACGUCAAGUUACACGGUGCUCACAUGAUGCUAAUUAUAUACAUUACUUGUUUUUUCAAUCACAUUUUUCUGUAAUUAAUAACCUCACUAUUAUUGAGGUUUUUACUAUUUCAAAUUUUAAGUUGUGAACAUAUGAUUUAUUUCUUGAGAAAAGAGCAAUUGAAUUUGCUUACUGUCCAUGAAGCGUUCCAUUCUAGAACACUUGAAAAGAGGUUUGCUUGCGGACUACACUGCUAUAAGAUAAUAGAAGCCUUAAUUGCUUGAAAUUAUGUCUUGUAUGAUAUUGAAAUUAGGACACAUUUGCAAAGAUUGUGUUUAAGUCCUAAUGACAUAUACAUCUUGUAUAUGGUUAAAAGGUUAUUUUCGAAAUUUUUCUAUUUAAGAAAAAUGACCGAGAUAAAGAAUAAGACAAUUACAAUUAGUCUUAAAAGGUUGUCAGGCUUAAUAGUAGCCGUGAGUAUUUUGGCGAGUAUGACAAUACGAAAUAGCUUAAAGGUCAUUUGUCAAAUACUUGGUAGAUUCUAGGGUGGUAACUUAAUUAUUAUACUUGAAAUUCUUGAGAAAAAGAUUUGGCCGAAAGGUAUAAAUGCACCAUAUUGAACAUGGUGAUGAGUAUGAUUAGUAAGACUAAUUAAUCCGGUCUUCUGUGGGCUGAUAUUUUGAAAGCAACCUUUUAACAUACAAAAGGUGUUUCUUAUCAAAGUUAUUUCAUAAACUUUUUUUGAGUUAUAGACUUGAUAUAAAUUACUUAAAUCAUAUUAAAUUUAGAGGUAUCAUGCAUAAAUGAGGUUAUCUAAUUCAAUAUUAAGUGUGUUGAAAUUUAGAUCCACUUGGAAUUAUUUUGUAUUUUACUCAAAUUGUUCAAAGGGGUAUCAAUUUUAUGACCCUAAAGAAAGUACAAGUAUUAUGGAAUCACAUACUGUAAAGUUUCUACAGUUCAACGUAAUUGUAGAUAAUAAAUGCUCUCAGACUAUUAAGGAUAAUAGCACAAUGAAAAAUCACUAUUUAUUUGUUUUUACCUAUACAGAUAAUUAUGGUCCAGACAAUUAUUGAAUCUCAUAUACCAUAAAUUAAACUUGUUGAGGUUUAAGGUGCUAUUCUUGAUAUAGUUUAUGAUGAAAUAUUUUCAAACCUCUCAAGUAUAGAAUGAAGUGGUAGUAACUUUACUCGGAAGAUUUGUUAGGGAAAAAUGAUCAAUUAUUCCAUUAAAUUAUAUAGUCUAUUUAUGAGAGCAUGAUUGCAAUAUCCGCUAUAUGGUUGAUGUAGUGGCAUAUUUAUAUGUCGUUUUUUUUUUCUCAAUCAAGUAUGUGAUUAGAUGCCAUAAAUUGCGAUAUACAAUCUGUGAAACAUCAUAGUAUUUGGAAACUAACUUACUUGUCUAAAGAUCACAAGUUCAUUAGUUGCAAAUUGGCAUACAAAAUUAAAAGGAUUUCAAAGGAAAAUUGUGAAGUUUAAAACUAAACUUGUAGCUAAAAUUUUCACUCUGAAAGAAGGGUAGAUAGUUUAUAGUGAAGAAAUAAUUAUUUAUUUACAUAUUCUUUCAGAGUGAACGUGGUAUUAAUAGCUCUUUUUGAUAUAGAGUUAUAUCAAAUAGAUACAAAAUCUAUAUAGUGUAACUUGAGGAUUUUGCAGGAGAUUCAAGUAAACUUGUGUGUAAACUGAAAAUUUUUAUUAAUAGUUUUUAAGUAAGUUUCCAAACAUUAUUAUCAAAGUUUUAUAGUGUUGUUAUUUUGUUCAAUUGAGAACAAAGUAAUUUAAUAUACUACAAGGUCAGUGGGAGGAAAUUUGUUUUUUAUAUACUCUAUGUACAUGAUAUUUUAUUUACAAGUAUUGACCUUGAGGCAUCUUUUGUCUUGUAAUGAAUUUUUUUUUUAUAUUAUAUUAGAUUUUCUCGAAGGAUAUCUGCUGAUUGUAUAGUGGAAAUAUUCAAUAUACAUCAUUGCAAGUCAGGAAUUGCUCUUGUUGUUAAGGGUGAUAGACUAAAUCUAUCACAUUGUCCUUAUUUAGAUAUUGAGAAAAUCUAAUUAAAAGGUGUACCUUAUGUCAGUGCACUUGAAAGUAUAAUGUAUACUCAAAUUUGCACUAGACUAAAUAUCAUCUUUACGACAGGACUUCUAGGCGAAUAUCAAUUAUAUUCAGGACUGUCAAGAAGAUUUUAAGGUACUUAAAUAAGACAAGAGAUUAUAUGCUAAUUUACAGACAUGUUCAAUUAUUGCAAGUUGUACGGUAUUUAGAUGUAAAUUUUGCUGGUUGUUCUAAUGUCAUGCAAUCAAUAACGGAAUACAUAUUUAUGUUAGCAGGAAGUGCAGUAAAUAAAGUUCUAUGUCAUCUUCUACUAUGUAAGCAAUAGUAGUAACAUUCUUUUAGGCUGUUACUUGGGCUUUUAGGGCUCCAGAACCUCAUGAAGAAGUUAAUCGUUUUAACUUUAAGGAUAGACUCAUACGGUUGUAUUGGGAUAAUAAAUUUGUAGUAUUAUUUAUUUACUACUAAGGUCUCAAGGGGUCUAAAUAAAUGGUGAUCAAAAUUUUUGACCAAAAGGAAAUGAUACAGAAAUGUGACGUAAUAAUAUAACAUAUUUCUGCAGAUGAUAUGAUUGCAGAUCCACUAAUUAAAGACUUAUGUCCAUGUGUAUUUGAGCAACACGUCAUUAGCAUGGGCCUAAGAGCAUCAUGAGAUAUUGUUAUUUAGUGGGAGCUAUUUUGGCUUUACUCUGAUAAAUUUUUCAUCUGUGUUCGUUACAUUUUCUAACGGUUUGAUAUGUAUCAACUUUUGCAUUCCAUAAAAUAUUUUUGAAUACGUUGUUAUUAUGUUGAAUACAUAUUAAUAAAAUCUCAAGGGAUUGUAUAAACCUUGAGUGAAGGCUAGGGACAUCCGGGCAUCCAAUUAUUAGCCUUGUGCAUAUGUAUUGUGAUACAUAAAGAAAAGUUAACCAUAAGGACAAGACAUAUGUAGGUUCAUUGGAACUAUAAAGCAUUUUCUAGUGGCACAAGUUUUUGUGACACCUAAGGUAAGAGAAUGGUGACUGACAAAUGGGAUCUCUCUAUGAGAGAUGUUAUCCAUUUGCCACACUACCAUAUUGAAUCCAUAUCAAUAAAGUUGAGAGCACUCGUGACCAUGGAAGACUCUGUGUGUAUACAUGCAGUUACCGCCAUGAUUCGGUGUUUAAGACUUUAUGGGAUAUGAUUGACUAUUAAGAGUUAUCUCUGGACCAAUGUGCGCACAUAAGGUACGAUUUCAAUUAAUAUAGUCCAAGUGGGAGAAUGUAAGAGUUUUCCUAAUGUGGACUACAUUAAUUGAUAUUGUAAUUUACUGUUUUUACAGCUACCGUUGUCGCGACCCGAUCUCGCCGCCCCUCGAAAGGUAUCCAAGGAGGGGAAAGGUCGGGUUUAGGGAUACUUGAUCUCAAGAUCGCGAGCUCUCCCAAGCUCGUACCUCGCGUGACAGUAGGUUUAUUAUGCGAUCUAGUUGUUUAUAACAACCUAAAAAUAUACAGGAGUCGCCACUAGCCUCAUUUUUUUUUUGGGGUUGGCUAGAAACCCAAUCGAGGGUUGAGAGUAUUCCCUCGAUUCCUACGCAACCAGAUAUCUAGGUUCGGGGACUUGGGUUACGCUAAUAUUGCUAUUAGCGCCCUUUCGGUACCUAAACAGUAUGUUGUGUUUUUCCUAACAUGUCCAUGUAUUUUUUAUAUUUUCAGAAUCGUCAAUUCUAGACUAAGUGAUCAUGCGCGGUGGAUCAUUUUCAUGCUAUUCUAUUUCUAAAAAAAAUAAAAAGGAAAACAACCAAUGAAAUUGAAAUUACAAAACAUGAAGUAAACAAUCAAGAAAAGCAGUUAAACCUAUCAGGUAGUCCUAAAAAAAAAAAAAAACAAUUAAAAAGAAAAGAAAGAAAACCCGCAACUCGUCGGGUUUUAUAAUGCAAGGAACCGACACAUAUGUCGGGAAAACAAAUAGUACAUGACAAUGGUCGGAAUGGACAUCGAUCUCCACCAUCUUCACGCCUUACACCUUCUCCAUCUUCGGGGUCCUAAUCUAAACCUAGCUUAGGAAACUUCUAGCUAAAUGCAUACAAUGGAAAGAGACGAGCAAACGCAUCAAAACAAUCAAAAGCAAGACAUUUUUUAUAUUCAAAAAGAGUGACUAAAGUCACAAGGUCUCUGGAUCAAAUUCUAGGUGAUAUCCCAAAUAAAUUUCAUAGAGACACUAUCAUCAUAUCAACACAUGAAUUUCUAAAAAUCUAAAAAAAAAACAAGUCAAUCAAGAAUAGAGCAUAGUAACAUGUCACACCGUCAUUCUACAACAUAUUGAAAGCAAUUGGACAAAUCUACUAUCUCAUCUUAAGACUAACAGCAACUAGCCACAGAAAAGAUAGCAUUUCUAUAAUCGAAUCAACUUCAAAAAUCAAAGACAGCACUUCAUUAUAUAUUGUAACAAAAAGCACGUGAAUUUAUAAAAUCCUAGAAGAGAUCAAGGUCAAUCAAAAGUAGAACAGAGCAGCAAGGCAAACAUACAACCAUUUUUAUGCAGUUUUUAUGUGAAGGACAACUUUCAUGAAGGACCUAAUCCCAAACUCCUCACACAAAAAAUUCAUACCAAAUUCACAAGUAUUUGAAGCUAUAAAAACAAAGCAUGUAUUCUAAAUCAAGACUAUUUCCAAAUUUCAAUAUCAGCAAAUUCACGCAUGAACAGCAAAUAUCAAUUGCAAUUAGCCAAAUGGGUGCAUGAUAUUCACAUCAAACGGGGUUCAAAUACGAUAAUGACUCUCAUGAAAGAUUCAACUCCAGCAAAGCAUGUUUACUAACUCAAAUUUGAACACAUGCAUCAGGUCUCAAACAGGACAGAUUCUGGACUGAACUUUGGACAUGUGAAAAUCAUAUCAAAUGAGAUUCAAUCAGGGCAUUCUAUAGCUCAUUGGAAAUAUAUUCGAACCAUCUUCUACUUUCAUGAAUACUUCGAACACAGAAAACCACAACAACCAGCUCAUAUUAAGUCAUUUGCACAGAAGGUCAGAUCAGCGAAAGAAACAGAAUAUAUCAGCAGAUUAGUGCUCUUUGCAAGAAGCAUCAGGCAGGGCAAAUGAUGGCCAAAUCGCACAUAUAAUAUGUCAUUAGAAAGCUUGAGAAGUCUAUUACAAAUCUCUAGAAGACAUUAAAUCCUAAUAGCAUCAUCUACCUGUUCAUAUCAAGCGAUUUACACAGCAGGUCAUCCGAAACAGAAAAACAAAUAUUUGGCAGAUUCUGGACCUAACUUUGGACAGGCAAAAACCAUAUUAAAUGAAGUCCAAUUAGGGCAUUCUAUAGCUCAUUGGAAAAAUAAUCGAACCGUCUUCGACCUCCAUGAAGACUUCGAACACAAAAAACCACAACAACCAGCUCAUAUCAAGUCAUUUGCAUAGAAAGUUAUUCAGUUAAUAGAACAGCAAACAGUUAACAAACAGAAAUGUGAUCGGUUCAAUGCCAUUCUAAUGCCAAUCCCACAUUCUCCUCUGUCCAUUCUCUCUGUUCACUCUCUACGCAGCUCACAGAAGACCACAGAACAAGCACUGACCCUGCUCUUCUCUAAUGACUGAAAACAUUUGAUGGUUCGAGCAACUAAAGGAACCUAAGCCUAAUCAGAAUAAUUCAGGUUUCAUACAAACCACAUCUAGCCACCAUGCGAAUGCCACUCAUGGCCACAAAUACCACCAACCUUCAACUUUGACAGCUGAGAACUAGUUACGCAGAAGCAUAACACGCGCACAAAAUCGUCGAAACAAAAACAUACAAAACACAAGGAGGCGGUAGACAUCUAUCAGAAUUUAUCUGACAAACUACGAACCCAAAAACACAUAGAGGACUAAGAACAAAAGCGUAGACUUUACUCAGGCAUUUCCCCAAACAUGUGAUAUGCAUUUCCAUCAAGGAGUUUAUACAAGAAUCUGAAUCAACGAUUCACUUUUAUUUCCAUCACAACAACAUCAGAGCAAGCUUAUUUUAGGUCGAUCAUGCUAUUUAAGCACAUCCUAAUCUAUGCCAUCAGAAUCGUUCAAAUAGAGCACAGAAACACAUAC